GAUGUCUUACUAGAAGCUAACCAACACCCAGAUCACUAUUACAUGGCAGCUAAAACUUAUUCCAGUGCUCCCGGUAGUCCUAAUGCUUUUGAUAAUACAACCACCACAGCUAUUGUACAGUACAGGGGAUACUACACUCCAUCUUCACCUCCCUCCUUGCCUCAUUUUCCUGCAUACAAUGACACAAAUGCAUCGGUUCAGGUCAUGGCCGGCCUCCGAAGCUUAGCAGAUGCGGAACAUCCUUGCAAUGUCCCAUUGAGCCCAAGCACUAAACUGAUUUACACUGUUUCUAUGAACUCGUUCCUAUGCCCCAAUAAUUCAUGUGGAGGGCCCAAUGGGACGCGGUUCGCCGCAAGUAUAAACAACAUAAGCUUCCAAUCCCCUACAAUUGACAUACUGCAAGCUUACUAUUAUAACAUCAGUGGUGUAUAUGGAGAUAAAUUUCCAAGCGUUCCACCACUGGUGUUCGAUUUUACCAAUGAUAUUCUUCCCUUAGAGUAUCAGAUUCCGAAAAACAGAACAGAAGUAAGGGUGCUCGAGUAUAACUCCACAGUGGAGAUUGUUUUUCAAGGGACAAGCUUGAUUUCAGGGACAACCCACCCCAUGCAUCUCCAUGGAUAUAGUUUCUAUGUUGUUGGAUGGGGAUUUGGGAAUUUCGAUAAAAAUAAGGACCCAUUGCACUACAAUCUAGUGGAUCCUCCCCUUCAAAGUACCAUCUCUGUUCCUACGAAAGGUUGGGCUGCAAUCAGAUUCGAGGCAUCCAACCCUGGUAUGUUGCAAGCACUCAUGUGAAUUUAGAAAAAAAAACCCUUGAAACUGCCAACCUACAUACCAAGGAAAUAAUUUUUCUUAACAUUGCAAUAAGUUAGGUGUAAUGUUGGUAUAUUUUCUCUAUUGCAGGAGUGUGGUUCAUGCAUUGCCAUGUCGAACGCCAUCUGACUUGGGGCAUGGAAACUGCGUUCAUAGUGAAAAAUGGUAAACACCUAGAAGCUGAAAUGUUGCCUCCGCCAUCUGACAUGCCACCAUGUUGAAGCUGCAAAGAAUUAACAUGGUAUAUUUUCAUUGAAUGUUUGCAUUAUUCAACUUUUUGUUUGACUAAGUAUUCCUCUUGUAUUAAAAUAACAAGCAUAAUGUAAAGUUGUAGAAUAUUGUCUGGGAUUAUUAUAUAAUUUGUCAAUUUCUUGGAUUGUUAAAAGUCUAUAAAGAUAAUAUUGUAGAAUAAUCUUUGAGAUAUGCUAUGGUGGAAUUUGCCAUGGAAGUCUUUGAUUAUAAAAAGAGAAAUUUACGCUAUGUUCCUAUUUCAACGUUAAUUAAUUUCAAUAUGAGUAACUCAUUAAAUAGACCAUUACAAUGCUAAUAAUCCUCCCAAUGCCAUAUUCACAAUAGAUAUAAAAGAGUAAUUGAAUUAUUCAAAUAUUUUAAAAUUAGACUAUGAUCUAAAAAGGUCAUGAAAUGGUUUGUUUAAUUUUUAAUUUUACAUCUCAAAAUAUUUUGCAAAUAAUAAAAAUUUUAUGAAGUCUUACACAAUGGAGAUAAAAUCAAUUCUUUUCUAUUUAUUUAUUUCAAAUUAAAAUAAUCACUUUUUCCUAAAUUUAAAAUAAUUGAUAUAUAAUUUAUAUUUUUACCUCCUAUUUUAGUAACAAUAUCACAAGAUCUACACCAAGAUAAAGGAGAAGGAAAAAAAAGUGAAAAAAAAAAAAUCAUCCAUUUCCAUUGCAUGGGGACAAAUUGAGUUUAACCUGACACCGAAGGAACUCCAAGUCUAUUUUUAGUUAUUUAACUUUUCAACCCUCAUUUUUUAUUUUUUAUUUUUUAUUUUACAUCAUAGUAAACCCUUUCCUACUUUCUUAAAUUUAAAUAACAAGUAAAAAAUUGAUUCAAACGAUUGAUCAUUUGAAUUUAUGAUUUAGAGAAAAGAAACUUAACAAUUAACUAAGCUACUACAAUUGACUGAACUCUCCAAGUCCAAGUCAAUGAAGUUAGAAAUUAUGUUUAAGUGAUUUUUGGGAUUUUUAAAAGUGAUUUUCAUAUAUAUAUAUAUAUGUGUGUGUGUAUUUAAAUUUUAUUUGGAUUGACUUUUAAGAGUUAAAUAAAAGUUUUUAUACCUAUUUAAUUAUUUAAAAAAAAACUUAUAACUUUAAAAAAAGGUUUCACAUAGAAGUCAUAAAAAUGUUAUUUCUUAUAAGAAUUUUAUGAUUCUAUUUUUGUUUAUUAUAGAAGUUCUUUCAUGUUGAACAAAACUUUUACAAUAUCAAUAUUACCCCUUAAAGAUUAUUACUUUAAUUUUGAUUUUAAUUUUCAUUUAAAGGAAAAAAUAUGAAGCUAUCCCGAAUUUGACCUUACUAUCCACCUAAUUAAUUUUUAUAAGAAAGUGUUAUUUUUUAAUAUUUAGAAGGGUUUUUAUUUAUUUAUUUUUAAAUAAUUCCCAAUUGAAAUUUAUAAGAAAGAAAGAAAAAGUUUUCUCUAAUAUUAGAAAGAAAUACAAAAUUUAAAACAUGGAUUGAAGUGAUUAUAGAACUUUGUUACAUAUUUAAAAUUAGUAUCUCUUAAUUUCUUACAACUCCAAUCUCCAAUAUUUGUUCUUUAUCUAAAAUUUGACAUAAGGAAUGGUUAUCCACUCAUAAGACAAGACAUGAAAUAUAAUUUUGUUUUAGGUAACAUCAAAUUCAAUGCAUUAAAAUCAAAGAGCAAGUGAGGAUCCAGAUUACUCCCUGUGCAUGGUCUUUGACAGUGGUUCAUAUGAAAUUUAUUUCUAGUCAAAUUAUUUUUAUUAUCUAAUUUUAGAUGGUGUUUGUUUUUGUAUUGAAUAGAAAAUGUUAAAAUAUUUAAUUUUUUCUAUUUAGUUAAAAAUAACCUGUUGAUAUCAACCUAACAUAACUAAACUAAACCUAUUAAUAAUAAGUUCACUUUAGUUAUGUUGAUUGAUAUCAAUAAGUUACUUUUAGUUGAAUAAAAAAAAAUCAGAUAUUUUAAUUUUUUCUAUUCAGUCAAAAAAAUAAAUAUUAUCUUAGUGUUAGAAAUACCCAUGUAUUUCAAAUCAAAAUUAGAGGACAACAACCUUUUAAUUUCAAUAAUACAAUUAUUAUUAUUAUGGCUAAAAAUCAGCCUAUCAUUCGAGUAAGCGCGCACACACACACACACACAUGUAUAUAUAAUGCCAAUAUCAUUAUUUUAAGCUAUGGCAUAAAUCUUUCAUGCAAUCAUUUCAAUGAUUCCUUUAAAUAAUAGAAAGAGAUAUUNNNNNNNNNNNNNNNNNNNNNNNNNNNNNNNNNNNNNNNNNNNNNNNNNNNNNNNNNNNNNNNNNNNNNNNNNNNNNNNNNNNNNNNNNNNNNNNNNNNNAAUCAUAUUAAUCCUAAAAAUAGGGACUUAGUAAUAAAAUCAAGCAAAAGGGUACAAUUAAACUCACACAUUUAAUUUGAAUGCCGUUUACGUAUUUCUAAUAUUAGGCUUAAGGUUCACACGCAAGGUUUCCUAGGGAUGCUUUAAAUAAUAGAAAGAGAUAUUUAAUUUACAAACUUUGUGCAGAGAUAGGAUAAUUUUUUUUUUUUAGAUUAAAAUUAUCCUAUCUCUACACAAAGUUUGUAAAUUAAAUAUCUCUUUCUAUUAUUUAAAUCUUCCCUAGGAAACCCAAUGAUUGAACCUAAAUAAUAAUAUUUGUAAUACUUAAACUAUAUUCAUAUUUAAUAUUUGAUUUUAAUUUUACCUUUUUGCUUUAUUUUAUUACUAAGUCCCUAUUUUUAGGUUUAAUAUGAUUUUUUUUUUAUAAAAAAAAUAUAUUUUUCCUCUUAUUUUUUUAUAGAUUUCUAUCAAAUGUUGGAAGAUGUCUUUCUAUAUAAUUGGAUACCAAUUAUUAUUUGUUUAUUUAUUUUGAAUAAUUACUAUAUAUUCCCCACCCUAUGAUUGUCGUAUGGUUGACACAUCAUCUAAUAAGAGAGCUUAACAUAUUCUAGCCAUUUUCAUGCUAAAGAGGGGUCCACAAGUUGCUGCCUAUGCCAAAAAAGAUAAGCAAAAGUUGACUUCUAUCCUUGACUAGUUGCCAUCAAUUGUCCAACCUUGCCAUAAGGUUCAUUCAUCUUUCUUAUCUUAUGAAUUGGUGUAAAGAUAACUAAAUAAAGGGAGAAAUGUUGAUUGAAGAAUGUAGUUAAAAUAUGAUGUAAAAUAGAGUAGUAGUGUAGAAAUGCAAGAAUAAAGAGGAAGAAUAUACUAUCUUGUUGUAGUUAUUAAUUUUUAUUUAUAAAGGUUGUGUUUGGUUUUUCAGAAAAUGCAAGGGAAAGGAAAAAAAAUACUAUGAAAAGUUAUUUUCCUUAGUUUGGAUGACAUGAAAAAUAUGAUGGAAAAAAAUAUAAAGGAAAAUACUAAAGAAAAUAUUGUAAUAUUUUCCCUCUUACUUUCCUUAAAAAUUAGUGAGGAAAAUAAGAGAUAAAGAUAAGGCAAAAGUUGGAGGAAAUUUUGUCAAGCUCACAUUAUCUUCUUCACCGAGUCUCCAAUUCACCUAACUUCAUCUUCACUAGUGGCUAUGGUUUGCCACUACCAUCGACCCUUUCAACAGCUACCACCAUUACUCCAAGCACCUUCCAGUGCCCCCAAAAUCCAACCCUCUUCUAGUACACAAGUUCCUAUGGAUGCAUUGCAUUCUUCAAAUCUAGUCAAUGUGUUCAAAUCCAUAUCUUCAUAUUAGGUAUGGAUUGAAUUCCUCUCUCUUAACAUCACACCUUGAUUUUUUUAGAUGUAGAUCUUCUCUCAAUGAACCAAAAUAUGCCAAAACUCAAAAUAAUAUAUAUAUAUAUAUAUAUAUAUAUAUAUAUAUAUAUAUAUAUAUAUAUAUAUAUAUAUAUAUUCAUAUUUAGAAAUCUAAACACCCAAAUUUUGUAGAUAUGAAAAAUCUGAUGCUACUCUUUGUAAUUGGACUUUGAUGUUUCUCGUGUUUGCAUUUUUUAAUUCCUGUGCUUCCAUUUGAUUUUCAAUAUAAGAAUUUUAAUUUUUUGUUUCAUACUACAAGACUUAAUAGCAAUAAUGAAGACAUUACAUGUUUGAGGAAUUACCUAUAAGAGAAUCUAACACACCAAUGAAACUAUUGCUAUAACCAAAGAAAAAUUAUCUUAGAAAGCUAUAAAAAAAAAAACAAAAAAAGUGUGUUGAACAGCUAUAAUAAUAGUAUUGUGGAUUGGGUAUGAGAAAAUUACAGAAGAUGGAGCAUUCUUGAUGUGGUAAAUUUGCAAUUGAAUGGAAUUUUCAAUAAGGAGCAAGAUGUCCCUUUUGUGUAGCCUUUGAUGUUAGCUUGGGCAGUGAAAACUUCAUGAACUAAAACUAUCAACUUGUCCUUUGGCACUAGAUAGUUUCUUUCUUAAUAUAAAUGUAGUAAGUAUUCUUAGCAAAUACAACUUAGUUUUGGUGAUAUAGUUUUUCCUUAAUACUUUAUCAUCAUGAUAGAACUUGGUAAACAUCUCUUAGGUCAAUUAUGUGAUAUUUAAAAAUUCCCUCUUAAAAAUUCUAAACAACUUAUCUAACUUUAGAAGCCUUCUUACUUAAUUAAUGCACAAUUAAUUACAUAUGUUUAUAAGACCACUCUCUUUUGUAGUAGCUCUCUAGAUUAUUCUUGCAAAAUUUCCUUUGUUGUGGAAGUCUUAGUUCAUGCAUGUAGUUAAUCCACUUGAAGCAUUGUAGUGAGAAGGUGCUUGAGACAAACCUUUGUAUUGAGCUAAUAAGCAAUUCCAUCAACUUCAAAUUUGGUUACUUUCAUUUGGCCCCCAAAUCUUCAUUUUGCAUGAUUUGAUAGACAAGCCUAACUAGCCUUAGAUAAUAGUUUAUAGGCAACUCCAAUAGCAGUUGUCUCAAAUUUUAUUAGAAAAAGACUAUUUGGAAACCUCCCCAAUAGCAAAACUUGACAUGCACACACCAUUGGUUCUUUCUACUUGAAUUACUCUAUUUCAAUAGCGUAGUGAAACUAGAGAUCAAACUAGUUUGUAUUUGGCCUAUGAAAGCUUCAAUCUAGAUCACUUACUAAAAGUGGACUGGCAAACAAACCUAAGUAGUAAGGGAGUGGGACAGAUAUAAUUGCUUAGAUUUUGGAGUGUUGUGGAGAAUCUUGAGACUUUGUGAGUUAAACCAUGCUCAUCCAAAGCCAACUUAGUUGGGCUACAGUUUGGUGUUAGAGGCUUGGAGCCUAACUUCCAUGGCUUUAUUACAAAUUAAAAUUUUCUUAUGGCAUAAGUAUGAUCUAAAAUUUAAAAUCCUUGUACCUGAGGACUUAAUAAUGAUGAUCUAAUAUAAUUUCAAGUCACAAGCACCCAAUGUGUCAAUAAUAAUACUCAUUAACUUACUCCUAAUAAGAAAAUAACCCACCAGUCUACUCCUAUACAUUAUUUUUUAAAAAUUUAAUUGUAAUAUUUGUAGCAUUUUUUAUUUUUGUCUAAAACAAUUUGAUAAUUUUGGUUGUGUGGGCAAUGUGGAGAAAAAAACAUAUAAACUCACUAUUUUGGUCUAAAUUGAGUUAACUAAAUUGAAUCAAACUAAUAUUAAGUUGGAUUAGUUUAAGUCGAUAAAAAAUUUGUUAUACUUUAGUUAAAACCAAGGAUAAAAAUAUCAGUAAUCAUGGAUAUAUCAAUACUUCAAUUUUAUGGAUAUAUCGAAGAUAUAUCAACAAAUAUUUUGGGAAAAAAAUUCAGUAGGCCUAAAAUUAUUAAAAACUCAUGAAAAUACAUGAAAAACCUCAUAACAAUAUAAUUAGAAGUAUAAUAGACAUUUUAAAGUUGUUUUAUUAAAAAAUUUGAUAUAUGUAUGAUAUAAUUUAUGAUAUUAGAUGUAAUUAUAUCAUGUCAAUUUAUAAGAAAUGUUAAUUUUGUAAUUGUACACUCAUUAUGAAGUUACAUAAAAUACUUCAUUUCAUUAAAUAUCUAUAAUUUGUACACAUUGCAUUGCAAUGUCCCUUUAGUACCAAAAUGAGGAUCGAUUUUGUUCAAUGGAAUAGGUAGAUGAAGGAACCCUGUCUUGCUAUUGGAGACAAUAUUGGUACCAACUCAAUGAGCCUUGAUAAUAUUGGUUAAAAAUUAUAACAUGCCAUGCAUAUAUCUCUUGAGUCCUACCCACUACCUCUACAUGGAUACGAUACUCAAGGUUCACGCAUGUGUUAAUGUCAAAUCCUCAUUCCAUGUGAUAUGAAACUUGGUAUGACAUUCUUGUGGAAGGGGAGUAACUCGGCAUACCAUACUCUUCAUUGGUUGAACUUGAAGGUUGAACAUAACUCAUCACAUGAGGAGGGUAGAUGUUAGCCUCAUUUGAGGAGUCACUAAAUUGAGUCCCUAUACUCAUAAAUUCAAAACUCCUUAAAAGUAACUUCUCGUCAUAUGGUCCAUUGUUCGUUAUCUUCCUCUAUAGGGUUUCUCAAUAUCUCUUAUGCCUGGACCAGCUCUUCUAGAGCCAUGGUCUUCAUCUUGUGUGCAGUGUGUGAAAUCAUUUUCACAGGUAAAUUAGCUCAUUGGAUAUUGACUCUGUUGACAUUCCUAAAUAUCUGCUCCCGCAUUAUUACCUCCAUCAUCAGUUCCACCUCUUAAACCAUCGUAACCAGAAGCAAAAGUACCUACAACACUAGGUCUACUAUUGUGGCUAGCACUUCUAGAGUCAACCUUUUGGUGGGAAUUCAAUGUCGUAUGAAAUGAAUCCUCGGUAUCUUUUCUAAAACUUUCAGAGUGAACUUCUUUAGACAACACACGUUCAACAUUAACUCCAAAUUCUUGAGCAUGAGCAACAAAUCGUGGAUCAGGAUUUCCAAUUUCAUCAUCCAAGUGUAUAGGCCUAACCCAUUAAAACAACUGAUUAUCUUCUUCUUCUUCGCCCAUCUUGGUUGAAAUGUCAAGAAGAUCAAGAUAAUAUUUUUCACUAACUUGAUCAUUUUCUGUCUUCAUAUCAAGUAACUUUAGCCUCAUAUUAUAGUAACAAAAAACUAAUUGCUCCAGUCCAGGGUAAGGUGAUUACUACCAAAAAGUGUUAUUUUUUAGACCUAAUUAUAAUGGUUUUAAGCACCUUUGAGUAGUAAUCAUAUUCAUUUAACCCAAUUAAUUCAUUAAGGUCCUUAGUAAUUGGUUUUAACCAUUUUGUGGCAAGUUUACAUGUUUUUAUCAGCUUAUGAAUCAAUUCAAGCAUGCCAAAUGAUGGAGGAGCUACUUGGACAAGUUAUGGCAAAGCUUUUGGAAGCUCAAAUUCAUGAAGAACCAAGCUUUGGAGCUCCAUAGGCCUUUGUCAAAGUCGUUCAAAGUAUGCAAGGAAAGAACAAUGGAGAAGAGGAAAACAGAGUGAAGAAAAUAGAGGACAGCAGCUGCAGUCUUCUUUCGCACUUUUGGAGCACUUCCCGAAGUCAAUUUUCUACAUGAUAUAUACCAUUUCAAAGCUCAGGAAGUCAAGAAUCCAAUGCUUCAAACUGUGUACGAUUUGGAGCUGAAAUGAGGAAGAUAUGGCCUUUGGAAGACAACUGCUCCAGGCUUGUGCGAAAAUUUCGCACAACACCUUCCAAAUUCGCACAGCCCAUNNNNNNNNNNNNNNNNNNNNNNNNNNNNNNNNNNNNNNNNNNNNNNNNNNNNNNNNNNNNNNNNNNNNNNNNNNNNNNNNNNNNNNNNNNNNNNNNNNNNUUGAGUAGUAAUCAUAUUCAUUUAACCAAUUAAUUCAUUAAGGUCCUUAGUAAUUGGUUUUAACCAUUUUGUGGCAAGUUUACAUGUUUUUAUCAGCUUAUGAAUCAAUUCAAGCAUGCCAAAUGAUGGAGGAGCUACUUGGACAAGUUAUGGCAAAGCUUUUGGAAGCUCAAAUUCAUGAAGAACCAAGCUUUGGAGCUCCAUAGGCCUUUGUCAAAGUCGUUCAAAGUAUGCAAGGAAAGAACAAUGGAGAAGAGGAAAACAGAGUGAAGAAAAUAGAGGACAGCAGCUGCAGUCUUCUUUCGCACUUUUGGAGCACUUCCCGAAGUCAAUUUUCUACAUGAUAUAUACCAUUUCAAAGCUCAGGAAGUCAAGAAUCCAAUGCUUCAAACUGUGUACGAUUUGGAGCUGAAAUGAGGAAGAUAUGGCCUUUGGAAGACAACUGCUCCAGGCUUGUGCGAAAAUUUCGCACAACACCUUCCAAAUUCGCACAGCCCAUGCGUGGUGCGAAUUUUCCUCUGUUUUUGCCGACUCCACUUUAGAUAUUUUCCUAUGUAUUUUUUGAUGUAAUUUCCUUUCUUAUCCUUGUAACUAACCAAUCACAAACUUUUGCUUUUGUAAAGACUAUAUAAGGGGUGGAAAUCACCUCUUGGAAUAUAUAGAACAUGCGUGUUACGUUUUACACGGAGUGAUAUACAGAGCUCUCUCGUUUCUCUUUUCUCUUUACUAUUUUAUUUUCUUGGAAGCCAAACAGCCUCUGAGGGCUUUUCCUCAGAGGAUGAUUGGCUAAAACUUUUAGUUUCUCAAAGUAUGGAUGUUAUGUGAUGACUUGGAUGCAAUCCCAUGGAAAUUUCUCGCACCUGGAAGGUAAGGUAGUCGUUUUUCAUUAAAGGUUCAUUAAUGCAAAGUUUGGUUUUUAUUUCCUUUGCACAACUUCCAACGGCCAAUACUUGAUAAGCUUUUGGAUUUCUAUCCAUUAGUUAUCUCCUACGAGCUAUUGGAAGGUGAGGUUUUCAAUUCCAAGUUUUGCAUUAAUCCAUUAGAACCAAUUUCAAUGGCCAUUGAAAGGUGAGUUUAUCACCUGGAAUGACUUUGAGUUGCCAAUAUUUGGUAAGCUUUUGGCUUUAGACCAUUAGUUAUCUCUUACGAGCCAUUCAAAGGAAGUCUAAGGUGAAUAACCAUUGAUGAAAUUCACUACCAUCUGUUUUGCCAUUUUAAAGGAUUAAAACUUGAUUUGCUAAAUCCAUACCGGUUCGGGAAGCAAGCAUCACCAUAGUUGCAACCCCAACGCGAGGAGCCUAUCCUGAGAUUUCCAAUUUGCAUAAGAGCUAGAGCAUAGCUAUCCUAUCUUUGAGAAACUUGUUUUUACACCCUUUCAUUUUAGUCUUUAAUGUUAGCUUAGAUUAGUUUAAAUCUUUCUAAAACAUUUACAUCUUCUUUUAAAGCUAACAUCCAUAAGAAAAUCACCUAUAUUCCUAAUUUGAAUAUCACUAGUGUUUGCGAAAACCCUUCCCAGUGAACGAUCCUAGAACCACUAUGCUUAGUAGCUUGGCUACUUUAGUAAUAGUAUUUAAGGUAUAAAUUUUGUUGAUACGCCUUUAAAGCUAAGCUACCAUGAGUCGAAUCAUAAGGCAAAUGAUUUCACUGCUUUGUGUGGAUGAGAGCGAACGUGCUCCAAUUUCUUUCACAAGCAAAAGAUGACGCAGUUUGUGAGAGAACUUUGACGGCUAACUUCCUCAAUGUAGGUGUUAGAUUCCCAUACAUGAACCAUCAUUCAGUUACAACCAAUUUCAUAAUUAUAUAGAUACUUAUAUGGUGAAUUUACAAUAAUGAUAAUCAAUUUUUUUCCUAUAAAUACUCACCGAGCACCAUGGUUGACCUUGCUGCAAUCGCCACUCAAUCAUCGAAUCCUCUUUUUGCAUCUCGAAAAAGCACAAGCUGUAUAUUCAACACUUAAUUUGUUAAUAUCAUAUUUGUUAGUAAACGUUCAAAUAAAUUGACGAAUGAAAUUAUUGUUUUAUUAACAAAAAUAAUGGUUUUUUAUUUACCUCAUUUUGAAAUUGACCAAGUGAUUCAGUAGUUGGGUCCAAUUUUGCAAAAAUGUCAUGGACCGCUUGAAGUAGUUCUAGAUCACUACCAACUCCAUGCCUACAUCGAAAUCCUGGAUUCAAGAAGUAUGCUACAAUAAAAUUAAGUAGAUUUAGUACUUUGUUAGAGAAAAUUAAAUACAGAGUAAAAACUUAUAAAGAUAGAUAGUACUUAAGUACCUACUGCAUGAAGUGGAUGUUUUAGUGUUUUCUCUCAAUGAUCUUUUAUUAUUUUGAAGAUCCAAUCUCCAACUCCUUGACGACACUACAAGAAAAAUAGCCUUCGUUGACAAUUUUUCACUGUCAAUGUAAGGUACAUCUGUGAAGGUAGGUUAUUGUUCAUAUAUGUUAUCUAUGCCAGUGACAAGAAAAGUUUAAAGGUAACUUGACAUAUAUAUAUGUUAAGAUUUUCUCUAUUUUUACAAAUGAUGAAAUCUUAUUAGUAUAUGAUAUGUCAAUGUUUCUUUCAUAUAUGUUAAGGUUGGAUUCAACUUAUAUCAACAUUACUUAAUCUUAUGUCAAUGUUAACUCACUCUUUUGUUAAGAUUAGUCCAACAAAUGUCAAGGUUAGGUAUCAUAUAUGUCAUGAUUAACUCCACAUAUAUCAAGGCUUUUAGAUACAUAUGUCAAGGUUAGAUUUUAUAUAUAUCAUAAUUGGCUUAUAUAUGUCAAUGUAGGGAAUAAAGGCAACUGUGAAGGUUCCCCUCGAAAAAUUUUAAAAUUAUUUUUUAAUAUGAAAAAUUGAACCUGUUGUCAUGUAUAAUCAAUUUGAUAUUAUUUAAGAAUGAUAAUGACAAUCAAAUUAUCAUGAUUUUAUAUAUAAUCAAAGCAUAUUUAAUAUACAUUUAAUUAUUAAUUAAAGCACAAAUCAAUGAACUUGUUUAAAGUUGUACCCAAUUUCUCUAUAUAGAAGAAACUCAUAUAAUAUACAACGAAAUUAAAAACACACUAUAAGACAAUAUAUAUAAACUUAAAUUAAGUUGCUCAUGUAUAUAUCUACAACCAAGUCUCUUGCCUCCAUCUUGAAGCAUUACUUUAUAGGAAAGCCUUAAAUUUCCAACACCCAAACUUCGAAUCUGUAGCAAAAAAUAAAGAGCAUAUUAACAAAUUAAAAAGAAAAAUGUAUAAUGAGGAGCAAUCAAAUAUCAAGCCUUAUGAAGAAUUUUAAUAGCAAGCUAGCCACUACACCUUUAUUAGACAAUAAUAGAUUAUUUCUUAAUAACACAAGUAAACAAACCAACUCUCAAAGAUAGCCUACAAAUCAUGCACAAAUGCUUCAUUUGGCGGCUUAUAAAGAUGAGGAAAAAAAUGACAACACAACCUGUUAUAGUUUACCAAGCUUUACAAAAAGGUACAUGAAAAAAAAUAAAUAUGACAUCAUAUUGAAUGAGGAUAGGAAAAAUAAAUGAACAAAUUUAGCAAGAACUAAACUUUAAUUUUCAUGCAGGAUCAACUAGUUUAUCAUAAUAAAAUUUAUCAAUAUAGCUGAGCAGAGAUUUGAUGUAAUAAUACCAUACAGAAUUCAAGUAAAAUUAAAUUAAUCAAAUAGGACACUACGGUUAUAUUUGGAUACAUAUUCUAUUUUUUAUUUUUAAAAUUAAAAUUUUGAUAUAAAAUAUGACAACCCUUUGUAUAAAAAAUAAAAAUUUAUCAUAUAAUCUUAAAAAUACUUUUCAAUAUUAAACAAAAAAAUGAGGAUGUGUCCUAAAAUUUUAAACAAAUUUAAAAAUAUUUUUAAAUACCCAAGGUAUCCAUUUUUUUCCUUUUUAAUAAAAAUUCCUAUAUUUUAUAUAAAACUCUAUUUUAAAAAAUGUAUCCAAACAUAAGCUAAAUUGUUAGAUUUUAUUGUGAGAUUUCUUGGAUUCUACAAUUCAUAGUGAAAUGAAGAUGAGAGAUAACUGACUGAACUAUGAAAAAAAAAAUUUAACAUUUAUGAGAUUCAAAAAUGCUAGUUAAUGAAAGAGGUUCUUCGCCAGGAUGACUAAGAAAAAUGCUGAAAAAUGUGUCAUGCCCAAAGCAAUAUUACAAUGAAGAAUAGAAUGAGAGCUAGCCUGAAAUAAAAUCCGACAAUCGCCAUGAAAGCCUGGAUGCAGAGGAAAUGUAACUAGAGACAUGUAAGGAAUCAUUAAACAAGUGAGAACAAUAUCAGAAUCUCAUGUAUGACUUACUUACCUUUCCCUGAGAUUCAAACCUGAAUUUUACUGUAAACCAUGACAAUCCUCUAUCUACAAUAGGUGCAAGUGCAAGGGCCCUGCAUAAGAAGCACCUCUACAAAAAUCAUAGAAAACCCAAGAGAAAAAAAAGAGAGUAAAUAAUUAGAAACUAGUCUACCAAAAACUAGGAGGCUGCAGCAAAUAAUCUCCAAAUGUCAGAUUUAAUAAUUUUUUAUGAAUGCCACUAAAAGGCCUUUUCAUCAUAGAAAUCUAGAAUAAAAAAGGAUAAGAAGCCAUUUGGAUUACAGAGGUCAAAGAUUGGGUUGGAUAGGAGCAAGUUUAACCUCCUUAGUAAAAAUGAAAAUGCAAGGCCCAUCAUCAACACUAGGUUCAAAAAUUGACACCAUUUCUUGAAGACUUUCUUUUUUUCAUUCUUCAAUUGUCAUUUUGAUUCAAAGAAGCAGCAACAUGAUAGACUAAAUAAUCAUCAUAAACCCAGUUUCAAGUUACAAGGAUAAGAAAGAAAAUGAACAGAAAACAUAUAUGAGAGAACUGAUAGGCCAAAAAAAUCAUUGUUGAAGGAAUCAAGCAUAAAUCUUUGAACUAGGGAAAUUCACUGAUUUUGGGUUAUUUUGUGAUAAGAGCAUUGGAAUAUCCCAAUAAACUAUUAUGCUAAUUAAAGAUUUAAAACAGAAUUUAGGUGCUUACCCUCUAGCUCUGACAAGUUUAGUGACCUGGCUGCCUGCCCACACCAUAGCCAUGAUUUUGACAAAUCUACCAAUUGGAUUCCAUAUGUCAAGAUAUUUUGAAAAACUUGUGCAAAAAGAAACUUUUUGGAAUAAGUUUUUACCUUUCAACUGCCACCAAAUAACCCAUCCUUCUUGGUUCUAGAGCAAUAUAAAACCUAGAAGCAGCAUAGUGAAUUAAGAGUUAUACUGGUUAUUUGAAAUCUACUCUGAACACCUAUGAUAGAGACUGCAGGAUAUGGUAAAACACUAAGGCAUAUUUCAAACUACAUUAUAAGGUAUUUGAUUAGAAAAUUAAAUAAAUAAAACAACAUAACAUAAAAUACAAAAAAGAAAAAAAAAACAAACUGAAUUUGUCCAUAUGCAACAAUAUGCAAUUGUUAGCCAUGAAUCCCAGUUUUGUCAGUUUCCAGUAUUAAUAAUUAAGCAUGAUUUUAUGAACUAGACCAGCAUUCUAAUAAUUCUAGAUUGAGGGGCAUGGAUGUCACAUUUGUAUUCCAUCAUGUGCAACUAACAUCACAUUGAAAUAAUAUCCACUAAAGCAAGUUAAGACCCAGUAUAUCAUAUUAAAUUUUUUCUACCAUGAAUAUAAGAUUAAUAAAAAUGCAGAUGGAAAUGCAAUACUUCUUUAUAUGACAUAAUGAAGGGAACCAAAUACAAGGACUCCCCAUUCCAGAUGCAAAAAGCCAAGUUACAACCUUUACCAAAUAAAGAGAUCCACCAUAAGUUCAUUUUUAGACAUGCUAUAGUUGAAUAUUCUAUCCAUAAGUGAUCAAAAGUCAAUUCAGAUGGGAAUAACAGCCACAAUGCUGGGAAGGUCAAUAACAAAAGCAUUGACUUGAAUGUUGGCAGUGUCAUUUACACUGGCCAUAAGAACCAAAGGUACAAAAUGCUGGGAAGGUCAAGAAAUUUCCUAAUAUUUCUUACUAGUCCAGCCCGUGCACAGGAUACAAAAUCUGUUUUUUUUUUCUAAAAAAAUAAAAUAAAAUAAGAUGCUAUUUGGUAGUUUGAUCAUGAUUUGCAGGCAAAGGUUGUGUUUUUCAACCUGGCUCAAAAAUCAUGGAUUUAGGGUUCGUGAAAUUUAAAUCCAAUAGCACAAAAGCAAAAAGACCCCUAUAACAGAUCCAGAAAACACAGGUAGCAAAAAAAAAAACAAGUUUUUGGUUUUCCUUGGGGAUUUUGCAUGGAUUUUCUCGGCAAUCAAACGAGGAUGAAUUUUCCCGGAAAUCGAAUGGGGGAUGGAUUUUCUUGGGAAUCAAACACGGGUUUUGCAAAGAGAAAACACAGGGAACAAAAAAAAAAAAAGCAAAUUUUUUUUUCCUUGGGGGUUUUGCAUGGAUUUUCUCGGAAAUCAAAUGAGGAUGAAUUUUCUUGAAAAUCAAAUAGGGGAUAGAUUUUCUUGGGAAUCAAACGGGGGUUUUGCAAAAAGAAAACAUAGGGAGCAAAAAAAAAGCAAUUUUUUUGGUUUUUCUUGGGGGUUUUGCAUGGAUUUUCUUAGAAAUCAAACGAGGAUGAAUUUUCUUGGGAAUCAAACGAGGGUUUUGCAAAGAGAAAAUACAGGGAGCAAAAAAAAAGGCAAUUUUUUUGGUUUUCCUUAGGGGUUUUGCAUGGAUUUUCUCGGAAAUCAAAUGGGGGAUGGAUUUUCUUGGGAAUCAAACGGGGUUUUGCGAAAAGAAAACACAGGGAACAAAAACAAAAGCAAUUUUUUUUUUUGUUUUCCUUGGGGUUUUGCAUGGAUUUUCUCGGAAAUCAAACAAGAAUGAGUUUUCCUAAAAAUCGAAUGGGGGAUGGAUUUUCUUGGGAAUCAAACGGGGAUUGCAAAAAAAAAAAAAAAACCAAUAAUAAUAUGACCAGAUUAGUACCUGCGAGGAUUGAGAGUGGUAGAGAAAAAUAGGGCGGAUUCUCUCGUCUGGAGGGCAACUUCAGAAAAGGGCUUCUUGAUGCCCGAGGCUUGUGAGAGAAGCGGGUAGCCAAUUUUAGAUUUAGUAGAGAUAAAAAAAAAAUAAAAAAUAAUAAAAAUGAAAGAAAUUAUGAGAACAAUUUUCCUCCCUCUAUAUAAAUAAUUAUUAAUUAUCCAUCUUUAUUUAAUCAUAUGGACGAUAUUUUAUGAAUUAAAAUUAAUUUGAUAAAAUAAAUUAUUAAUAAUUUUAAUUAUUUAAAUAAAUUAAUGUUAAUAGAAAAAGUUGUUACCACAUAUUUUUAAUAAAAUUUUAGAAAUUAAAUCUUAAAUAAAAUAUUUUAUAUAAAUUAAUUUAAUUUUUCAUUUAAAAUGUAAUAAAACUUGUUUUAAUAAAAAAAUUUUAAAAUAAAUAUUAUCUUCAACAAGAUGGGCUCCUUUCAUCUAACAAUAUGAUGAAACCACAUCAAUCUUCAUUUUGAUACUAAAACUAUUGCAAUGUCAUAUGUAUUACAUUUAUGUAUAAAUUAUUUUUAUGCAAUAAAAUCACAUAUUUCUUAACUUAAUUCUAACUUUAUACACUUUCAAAAUUCAUAUUUAUUAUUCUUAAAAUUCAAAUAUUGAAUCUAUCGAUAUAUCUCUAUCUGUCAAUAUUUUUAUUUUUUAUCAUAUUUAUGUCAAUUAUAUUUAUAAAAUAACUUUAAAAUAUGAAUUCUUGCUUAUUUUAUCAUUUUUUGGAGUUUUUUCAAGCAUUCCUCCUAAAAAUUUUAAAUAAUUUUCGCUCUACCGAUAUUUAUGAAAAAAUAUCUACCAAUAUUUUUUAUAUAUCCGUAAAAUCGAAGUACCGAUAUUUUCAUAACUAUCAAUAUUUUCAUCCUUGAUUUAGAGAAAAAAGUUUCAAACCCUAAGCUCUCAAAAUGAAUAUCGGGUUUUGAGAAAAUGAGGAGUGUUCUUUGUAAAUACCACGGGAAACCUUGAUAGGUAAUUAUAACAUGAUAUCUUGACUUAUAAUCCAUAGGUCAUUUAAGAUCAUUUUACUAGAAUUAAAAUGGUAUAUAUGUUUAAAAUCAUACCUUGACUUUUGAUUUUAUGUCAAGCUAGCCACAUUAUAUAAGUACAUUGACGUAUGAACAUAUUAACUAUAUAUUGACUUAUAAAUUAUCUGUCAAUCUUCUAUUAUAUAAGUCAUGAAAGAAUUCAACAAAAUUUUAUAUAUGUCAUUAUUGGUUUAAACAAGUUGUAUAUGUCAUAGUUAUUCAUUUAAAUAGGCAAUAUUGACACAUAUCACCUUAAGUCAAGAUAAUAUAUGUCAACAAUGACCUUUUUUCUUGUAGUGCGAGUAAGGUUCUAUUUCAUCAAGUGCAUAAACUCGUACACAAACAGCAUUGUGGAAACAACUUCAGAAUCUAUAAGUUGAAGUACCAAGUAUAAUGGCUCAUACAAUGAAACUAUAUUUGCCACUUUAUCCCAAUACGCAUGGUCAAACAAUAAUUGCUUCAAAUUUCAUCCAAUUUUUGUCCAACUAAGCUUAUUUUGUGCCCAUUCUUCACUCAUAAACAAUUUUUUUUUUUAAAUCAACCUUUUUUUUAAAAGAAGACUAUCAAGAGCAAUAUAAUUGGUAGCAAACCUUGUAGCUCUUGGUCGAACAAUGUCUCCACCACAAUACUUUCUCAUUUGUGCAAGUAACCAACCAUGGUUGUAAAUGAAGUUGGUUAUCUUGCGAGCAUUAUUUAUCACAUCUAUAACACUGGGUCUUUUAUCAAUAUCUUCAAAGAUUAAGUCAAUGCAGUGUUCCACACACAAAGUAUAAUAUAAGUUAAACUUCUUCAUCAAUAGUUUCCCUGCUUUCAUGGAUGCCGACCCAUUAUCUGUGACAAUUUGGACCACAUUUUCUCGAUCGACUUCUUUGAUAACAGUCUUUAAUAACUCGUAUAUAUACUUAUGGUCUUUGAUAUUAUUCGAUACAUCGACUGACUUAAGGAACACCAUGGUCCCUUUUGAAUAAACCAUGAAAUUAAUAAUACUUAAUUUCAUGGGCCCUGUCCAUCCAUCUGAUAUUAUUAUGCACCUAUAUGUCUUCCAUUUUUCUCUUUGUUGGUUCACAUAAACUUCCAUUUCUUUGUACUCCAUUUCCAAGUACUAGUUCUUUAUUUCAUAUGGAGAUGGAGGUUCGAUUCCCAUUCCUACAAUUCAUAUAUAAUAAAUAUGUAAAACAUGUCGCAAAAGACUAUACUUACUAAAAGUCUAAAACAAUAUAACAAUUCAAAAAUUAGUAAUUACCUGCUUGUUGUGCACUAAUAAUCAUAUUCUUAAAGUGAUGAGACUUUGCUUUUAGGGGUGCGACACUCUCAUAAAUGAAGAAUUUUCUGAUUAAGCGUCCCAUCAUUUCUUUAAUUGAACCACCUUUCAACAUAUUUUUGAUAUUUUUUGUCUUGCUGCAGAAGACUUGUAGAGCAAAAGGCAAUAGGGGGUGAUUGGUUCUAAUGUUGCAUACUUUGUGAUUUCCGCAUCAUUGUCAGUGUACCACUAGGUUGUGAAGACUCCCAUUUUAUGAUUACUUCCUACAAUAUUCUCAUAUUGUUGAUGCUCCCAUUCAAUUGCUUUUGAGGCAUGAACUGUAGAUCGAUUUGCAUCCCGCUCAUCUGGGUGCAUAUCCGUUGGAUACAUAUACACAUCUUCAUCCUCAACAUAUUCAUCAUCAUCAUCAUCUUUGUCUAUCAAAUGUGUAUCAUUGGCCCCCAUUGUACCACAUAAUUGAGCACAAAUCUCUUGAAUAUCUACAACUUUCUUUGCUUUUGCUUUAUAUUUGUUAUGCACCAUCAAUCGUAUCUUUUCUUUCACUUUGGGAGGCACUCUCGGACACUUUUUAGUGUUGUUAUGCAGGUCGUUAUGUGUUAAAUGGAACUUAAAUCGUAUGAUGCCUCCACUUUUCAUCAACAACCCAUAGAAAUUACAAAUUGUCUCAUUUAUGUUCCCCUAUACUAGUGAACAAUACUUCCAAGCUGGAUCUUACCUUGGCAUGGGAGAACGACCUCUACUAGCCAUGCUAAAUCUAUUGCAAAAAAAAAAAAAAAAAACCACCUGAAUGUGAUUUCAAUGUAAACAAAAAGUUAAGUAAACAUUUAAAUUUAACAUGUAGCAAUGGAAUGUCAAAAGAAAUUUAAAUAAUCAUGUAAAAUGAGCAUAUUCCAAAUAUACUAAUUUAUGUCAAUAGCUAAAUUAAUUAAAUAAUUUAGCUAAGUUAGUUUACUUAAUCUAAAUCUAUGAGAAAUUUACAAAAUAUACUAAUUAAUUAUAAUUGAAUGUGAAAAUAAAAUAAAAUAAUCAUUUAAUAUGGAAUUUUUUUUUAAUCUAAAUCUAAUUCUAUGAAAAAUUUACUAAAUAUAAAAAUUAACUAUAAUUGAAUGUGAAAACAAAUCACAGUAAUCAUAAAAAAUGAACAUAUUUGAUAUUUCAAAUAUACUAGUUCAUGUUAAUUAAAUAAUUUAGCUAAGUUAAUUUUUUGAAUCUAAAUCUAAGUCUAUGAAAAAUUUACUAAAUAUAAAAAUUAACUAUAAUUGAAUUUUAAAAUAAAUCACAAUAAUCAUAAAAAAAAUAAACAUAUUUGAUAUUCCAAAUAUACUAGUUCAUGUUAAUUAAAUUAAUUAAAUAAUUUAAUUAAGUUAACUAGUUGAAUCUAAUUCUAACUAUAUUGAAUGUGAAAAUAAAAUUAAAUAAUAAUCUAAAAUAAACAAAUCCAUCUAUAAUUAAAUAAUCAAAUUAACCUAAGUUAACUCAAUAAAAAUAUACAAAUUAAUUACAAUUUAAAACAAACAUACCUUAAAAUAAUUGAAUAAUUGAACAGCCUUAGAAAAAUUUGGAGUAAUGAGAGAGCAAAUGAAAAAUGAAAUCAAAGGUGGAUGAAAUAGAAGCAAAAUGGGCUAUCUAUAGGAAAAUUUUGGGCCAAAAUAGCCGUUGAAAGAUGAUUUUAUUUUUGAAAAACAAUUUUGGCCGUUGGAUCAAAAUAUGGGUAAAAUCUUACCAUUGGAUCUUGAUUUUAUUGUUGGAAUCUCAUCCCAACCGUUGGAUCAAACCUAAAUUCAAUUCAGGGGGUUGGAUGGAUGACAGUUGGAGGCAAGCAUGGCGAAUGUGAUAUGGGCCGUUAGAUCAAGCUUGAGAGGGGUUAUUUAUUGCCAAAAAAUCGGUGAUUUAUUGCCUUUUGUCGAUAAAUUGAUGAUAUUUUGUCGAUUUUUCUCCCCAUCGAUAAAUCUCCACAAAAUAUUGUGUUGUCAACCAUUGAUACACGUUAUAUCAGUAAUAUAUCGCUGAUAUAUCCCAACAUUUUCUUCCAUGGUUAAAACCAAUAAACUCUUAUUUGAUUCUUGGAUUGGUUAUAAACCAACCUAGCUAAAUGUAUCUAUCCCUAAUUAACUUUGUGUUCUUGUCCUAGAAUAAUAAAUCCUUUAGGUUGCCCCAUAUACUCUUAAUUUAAAUAACCAUUCAAGGAAAGAUAAUCUUAACAUCCAUUUGAUAGAUUUCUAGACUCCAUAUUGAAGCUAGUAAUAUCAAAUUUCUAUCUAAUGUUAUCUAACUAAAGCAUAAAUAUCAAAUUACUUAAACCCCUUUUAUCUACUUAAUCCAUUAAUGUAUGCAAUAUUUCUUUUGAACUUUUUUCUACUAAAUAAACUAUAAAUUCAUGGAUAAAAUAUUUCUCUAUUUAACUCCUACCAUAUCACCUUGUUUCAUUGCCUUUUAUUGUUAGAUUUUCCAUUUGAAACAUUUUUUUUCUUUUGAAAACUAUUUGCUCCAUUGUACUUUGAAUCUUUUAUGAUAAAAGAUUUAAAAACUUACAACUUUCGUUGAUUUAGUAAUUGUAUUAUAUUUCAAGUCCAAGAAAUAUAAUUGUGAACUCGCAUUUUUCAUGGAUGUCUCACUUGUUGGUGAGAUUUGCUUUUAUUGUUUUUUUUUUUUUUUUUUGAAAAGUUGGAGUCGUCACUUAUUUUUAAAAGAAAACAAAAUAAUAAAUAAAGCCCUAGUAUUACUCAUUUUUUAAAGAAAAGAUGUGUUAGCAACUGAGUUCCAAUCUAGAGGUUAGGUUACCUAUUGGAAAGAUACCAUAGGGUAACACCCCUUUAAGUCUUAAAAAGGUUUCUACUAAGCACAUAAAAAAGAAUUAUGACAAUUAAUUAAUUAACCAUGAAUACAAAAAAAUAAAAAAGAAUAAUACAAGUACAUGGAAUAAUGCAAAAGCAAAUUAUAAGGAUAUGCAUAAAUGAUACAUGAGAAAAGCACAAAAUAAUUUAUUAGAAAGAUUUUAUUACUUCAAAUAUCAUAAUACAAUUUCCAAAAAUUUUCAAAGAAUUCAUUUAUUUUAACAACAAUUUCAAAUUAGUUAUUUGAAUUUAUUUCUUCACAAGGUUCAAUUUGUUACAAAAGAUUUGAUUUGAUUUACAAGAAAUGAUUUGUGUUUACCUUAUUUGGAAGAGGGGUGAAUCUUACUAAUUUAUUUUAAAAAGUAUUUUGAUUCAAUUUUUAUUUGUUUUUUAUUUAAAAAAAAAAAUCUACGAACUUAAAGAGAGAUAUUUACAAGUUUAUAAGAAGGAAUUCAACCCAAUUUUAUUAAUUUUUUUUCCUAGAAAAAGAUUCUUUAUUACUAAUUUAUAUAGACAAAGAAUUUCACAAAUUUGUUCCCAAGGAUUCCAAUUUUAUUAAGAAAGAAUUUUGGAUUUCAUCUAGUAAGAGAUUAGUUUACCAAUUUAUUAAGAAAAGGUCUUUCAGUUCGAUUAAAAGGUUUACUCAUUCUAUUCUUAUUAAAAAAGAAAAAAAAUCUUUAAAACUUCUAUUUAUAAAAAUUACUUUAAAUCUCAUUCUUAUCAAGAAAAUAGAGUUAUAUUUAAAAGUCAAUUUUGGAUGAUUUUAUUGAAGUUAACUUUUUGGACAAUUUUAUUUAAAAAUCAAUUUUCUAGAAAAUUUUGUUAAACAAAUGAAUUUCUAGAGAGAUUGUUAUUAAAAACCAUUGUUUGAAUUUUUACUAAAAUUUUUUUCUAGAUUCCUCUAAAAACAUCUAAUGGAACUUUCUAUUAAGAAAACUCUAUUUUAUUAAAAAUAAUAUUUUUUGAACUGUUAUUUCAUUAAAACAAGAUUCCUAGACUAUUUCAUUUUAAUUUUUAUUUUAUUUUAUUUGAAAAAAGAUUUCUGAACCUUUUAUUUAAUUUAAAAUUCUGAACUGUUUCAUUUAUUAAAACAAAAUUUUUGGACUAUUUUAUCUAAAAAAGAUGUCUAAAACCUAUUUUUAUUAAAAGAAAAUUUUGGGUCCCUUUUUCUUAUUUAAUAAAAAUAUUUUAUUGGACCUAUUUUAUUUUAUUUUUGAGAAAAAGUUCUUUCGGUAACUUAAUUUAUUAAAAUCUAAAAUUUUGGACAGCCUUAUUAAAUAAAUAAACAACGUAAAUAUAUGCAUAACCAAAUUAACAAAAAAUGUGAAAUGAGGUAUGAAAAAUAUAAACAAACAUAAACAUGUACAAAUAUUAACACGAACAAAUAACUUAAAAAAAAUAAUAUAUGUAUGGAAUAUUUACAAAGAAUAGAAAACCUAAACAAAUAUAAAUAUUUAUAGUGAACAAAAAACUCUAAACAAACCCAUAUGGACAAAGAAAUUAUGAAUAGAAAACUACAAAUAAAUGAUAUAUGAACAUAAUAUGUACAAAACUAAAAGGAAAUGGAAAAUAAAUCAAAUAUUCAACUCUGUAUACAACUAAUAAAUAUAUACAAAAUGGUAUUUACAAAAGCUAAUAGAAAUUAAACUAAAUGGAAGUGGGGAAAGAAAAUGUGUACCCAAACAAGCCUACAACCAGUUCAAUACUCUCAUUCUGCCUAAGGUUUCAUGCCUUAUUUAUAGCCUUCUUGAACCUUUUUUUUUUCCCAUGAAAUUCAGCUCUCCACUCGUCAAAAAUCCAUGUAGCCAAAAGUCUCAAAAAAUGGCCCCAUGCAUAACUAUUAAUAAAGCCCAAAGUAAAUAUCCAAAAAUGUGUAAAGCCAAAAACAAAUAUUCAAGCCCAAAGAUGAAAUAAUGAUCCCAAACCCAAAUAAAAAAUCCUAACAAAAAUAUCAACAAUCUAAAACCAUAAGGCCCAAACUUAAUUAAAAUCAAACCCAAAACAAAACAUCCAAGAACCAACAUGCCCAAGUCUAAAGUCCACAAACAAAAUCCAAAAUCCAAAUAUCAAUAAAUCUAAGUUAAACAAAUCAAAACCAAAAUUAUAAAGCAAACUUAAGAUCAACAUCUAAUAUGCAAAUUCCAAGCGAAACAAAUAUCUAAAGCCCAAACAAGCAAACUCAACAAUGAAGAACAAUAACUGUAGGAAUAAAAAAAAAAAAUGAUCAAAGAAAUAAAAAAUGAAAAAAAGCAUCUAACCCGUUUCUUAAAUGUAAUGUGGAAUGAGGGACAAGGGGAAAGAAUGAGAUAAUAAUAAUAAUAAUAAUAAUAAUAAUAAUAAUAAAUAAAUAAAUAAAUAGACAAAUAAAAGAAAGUAAAGAAAAUAGAGAAGUAAAGAGAGAAAAGAGAACUCCAACCAACAAUGGCUUGUCGAUGGUGACUAUCUAGUGGUAAGAAUGGUGAGUAUGGGGCAGCCAUGGUUAUGGACCUUCAAGAUGAGACAGAGAAAAAAUGGUAAGAAGAAGAAAAAUGAAAGGAAAAGAAAAAAGAAAAGGGAAAAAUGAGGGAGGUAGGUGAUAGCUAGAGAUGGGUUUGGGUGAGGAGGUAGGUAAAGAUAAGAGAGAAAAAGAAAGAAAACCAAAAAUGAAGGAAAAAGAAAUAAACAAAGAAAAUGGAAGGAAAAGGGAAAAAAAAAAAAAAAAAAAAGGAAAGGAGGCUCUAUAAUUGCAUGUGAGUGGAAGAAAAAAAAUUGGGUGAAAACCAAGAAAGGAGAAAAAAAGUAAAAAUCAAAUCAAAUAAAUAAAUAAUAAUAAUUAAUAAAAUAAUAAAAUAAAAUAAAAUAAAAAGUGAGAAUGGGCUUAGGGCAAAAUUUAGGAUUUACAAAUAUGCCCCUCUUUAAAAGAGUUCACAAGUGAAGUGUAUAAACCAACUAAACGAAAUGGGCUCUACUAAAGUACUAAAAAGAUCACCAAAUUUUUCCUUGUAAUUAAGACACAGGCUCUCUAAGGUUAUGAAAUGUGCUCAUUGAUCUACUAGUAGAGAAAUAUGCAAUAUCUAUGUGGAUCUUAAGGAAGACUCUUUUGAAUAGGGUAGUGCCAAUAUCUAUGUGAAACACUAAUGACCUUGUUGUCCAAAGGGGGAAUGAACGAGUGAACAAGAGAAGGAAGAAGAAAAGAUAGGAAACUAAUGAUUAAAGAAAAUACUCAAGACUAAUAAAAUGAAAAUGAAAAGAGGUCGAGUAGUCAAGGCAUGGACACUAGAGGAAACAAAAAGAAGAUUGAACAUUUGGGGUAAGACUUUAAAAAAAAAGUUGGAUAAUUAAGACCCGACUCUAGGAAAACAUGAAAAUGUAGGACAAUCAAGGUAGCUCUAGGAAAACAUGAAAAGGUUGGAUAGUCAAAGCAUGACACUAAUAAAGACAAAAAGAGACCGAAUAGUUAGGGCAUGAUACUAAGAAAGCAUAAAAGAUGUUGGAUAGUUAGGGCAUGACAUUAACAGAAAAACAUAAAAAAAGUCGAAUAAUUAGGGUGUGACACUAGCAAAAACAUAAAAAAGUUAGACAAUUUGGGUGUGACAGUAAGAAAACAUAAGGAGGUUAGAAAGUUAGUGUGUGAUACUAAAUAGAAACACAAAGAAGUUAGAUAAUCAAGAAACAACACUAAAAGAAACCUAAAAAGGUUGGACAAUCAGGGCACAACACUAAAAAAAUAUAGAGAAAGAUCAGACAAUCGAAGUACAACAAUGAGAGAAGCAUAAGAAGGCCUGACAAUUUAGGCACAACGCUAAAAAAGAAACAUAAAGAAGCUGGACAGUUAGAGUGCAACACUAAGAGGAACAUAAAAAGGAGGUCAAACAGUCAAGGUACAAUACUAAAAAAAAAAAUACAUGAAAGCCAGACAGCUAGGGUGCAACAAUGGGAAAAACAUAAGAAGGUUGGACAGUUAGGGCUUCACACUAACAAUGACACAGAAAGGCUAGCCAAUUGGGGCACGACAAUGGGAGAAACAUAAAAAGGUCAAAUAGUCUAAGUGUGACACAAAAGAGACAUAGAAAGGUUCACUAGUCAGGGUGUGACACUAAAAAAAGACAUGAAAGGCUAGACAGUUGGUGAGUAACAUUAAAAAAAAAAAGGCAUAAAAAUGUUGGAUAGCUUGGAUGUGACACUAAAAAAAGACAUAAGAGAGUGGGCAAUUGAAACAUGAUAAUGGACGAAAUAUAAGAAGGUCAGACAAUUAGUGCAUGACAUUUUAAAAAAGACAGAAAAGUUAGACAUUUCAAGCAUAAUGCUAAAAAAACAUGAAAGGUCAAACAAUCAAGGUACAACUAUAAUAAGAGACAUAAAAAGGUCAGAUAGUCGUAGGAUGACACUAACAAGAGACAUAAAAAGGUUAGACAACCAUGAGGCAACUCUAGGAAAACAUAAAAGAGGUCAAACAGUUAAAAUGCAACACUAGAAAAAAAAUAUAAAAAGGUUGAAUAGUUAGAGUAUGAUUUUAACAGGAGACAUAAAAAGAGGUUGGACAGUUAGGGUGUAGUAUUAAGAAAACAUAAAAGAUGUUGGACAAUUAGGGCAUGACAUUAAUAUAAAAACAUAAAAAGCUUGGACAAUUAGGGUGUAGUACUAAUAAAGACAUAAAAUGAUAAAGAGUGGGGUGCAACACUAAUAGAAACUUAAAAAUGGGUUAGACUUUGAUAGUAAGGCAUAGUUAUGGUGACUGAAAAGUGACUAAGAUAAUACUCAAAUGUGGCUCUUAGCCAAAUGAUGAUCCAAAGGCGUAGCUCGAGGCUAGAGAGUGACCAAGAAGAGAAUUUAAUUGUAAAGUUCAAGGCUCAUAUAAAAUGAUAAAAAGAUAAUCUAAGAGUAAUGCUCAGGCUAAUCAAUGAGCAAGAUAGAUAACAGAAGAAGAGAAAACCUAAAGAUACAUGAAGAUUCGAUUGAGAGUCGAAUGAUGACCUAAAAAUGUGGCUUGAGGUUAAUUGAGUGUGAGAUAAAGAUGACUUAAUAGUGCAACUCAAGGUUUGAAUGAUGAUUAAGAAAAUACCAAAGAUGUGGUCACAAAGACUAAAAGACAACUAACAUAAGAUUAAAAAGGGAAAAGAUAAAAUAUACAAAAUGUUAUAUAUCAACGGCAUACUCCAACAUACACGUGUCGACAAUAAGAUGAAAAUGUCUAAUCCUUAAUUAGAAAAGCUAAAUAGGACUAUUUGUCUUAAGACCAUGCUAUCAAAAUAGAACCAAAUGAUGGACAAAAACAAAGCUAACCAAAGCUCUGAAUCUAAAUAUGCACCAAGUCAUGUCAUGAAAUGUAGACUAUCAAAUGAAAAAUGCCACAAACAAUCGACAGUCUUUUGAGUCUUGCCAUCAUGGAAGAUGUUAAAUUCAGUAUCCAAAAGGCAUAUGAAAGUUCAACUAGAAAACUCAUUAUUCUUCUACAUCCUUCUAUGAUUUGGAGAGCAAAAUAAGUUUAUAUAUCAUGAUGGAAUGAGAUGGGUGGAUUGAAUACAAGAUAUAAGUGUGAAAAUAGUAAAAGAGAAGUGUUUGGGUAUGAAAUAAAUAUAAGAGAGUAUCUAAAUCAGACCUGGUAUGGUGAGAAGACAAAAUCUAAGGCAUCAUCAUCUUUAUAACCCAUUAAAAACCUCAAUCUAGUGGUCAAAUUCCAAUGGCCUAAAAAAUCAAUAAGAUUGUCACGCCCUAAUAUAAAUAUUUCCUUAAAUGGCUAUGCCCCAACAUAAAAGACAUCAAAUCGAUAUCUCUCAACUUGAUCACCUUUAUGAGAAUGAUUAUGACAUAAUGUAUGGAGUUAAAUAGAGUAGUUAUGCUUAGUAUAAAAUAUUAUUUUUUUAAAAAAAAUCAAUCACAAACUAAAUGGGUUAUGCCCCAACAUGAAUAUAUCAAGUUAAAAUGGGUAAGGCCCAAACAAAUUAAUCAUCUUCAAAAUGAAACACUAAUAAGAGAAGUAUGGUCCAGUAUAUAAGGUAAUAUUUAAAAUGUUCAAACCUUAGUGCAAUGUAAUCUUUAGAAUGGUUAUGUCAUAACAUACACGAUCUCAUCAAGAUAGACCUCUACUCCCUAAAUUAUUUUCAUACUAUAAUGUGAAGAGAGUAUUGAAUCUCCUUUAGAAGACGAAUAUGCCCAGUGUAGGGAAUCAAGCAUAGCGGUUAUGCCUUACUAUAAAUUGUCAAAUCAAAAUCAAACUCUACCAUAUAUCUCAAAAUGGAUAUAUGUUGAUUUGAAGCCAAGUGACUUCUAAUCCAUCAUGCUCCAUGAGAAGGAAUAAAGUGGCUAUGCCUUAGUAUAAGAUAUCAUCUCAAAAAUCAAUAAUUGAUGAGAGGGCUACGCCUUAGUAUAAACUCUCUAAGGUGUUUAUGCCCUAGAAUAAAUCGUUAAAUGAAAAAUAAAACUAUAUCCUAGAUCUAAAAAAAGGAUAUAUAUCAAUAUAAAUCCAAGCGAUAACUAAUCCAUCAUGCUUCAUGAGAAAGAAUAAAGUGGUUAUGCCCUAGUAUAAGUUAUCAUCUCGAAAAUCAACCAUCAAUGAGAGGGCUAUACACCAAUAUAAACUCUCUAAGGUGGCUAUGCCUUAGUGUAAAUUGUCAAAUCAAAAUCAAACUCUAUCCUAAAUCUAAAAAAUGGAUAUAUGUUGAUAUGAAUCUAGGUGACUCUUUAUCUAUCAUGCUCCAUGAGAAGGAAUGAAGUGACUAUGCCCUAAUAUAAGCUAUCAUCUAAAAAAUUAAUCAGCAAUAGGAGGGCUACACCCUAGUAUGAACUCCCUAAGAUGGCUAUGCCCCAACGUAAAUUGUUAAAUCAAAAUCAAACUUUAUCCCAUAUCUCAAAAAAGGAUAUAUAUCGAUAUGAAUCCGAGUGACUCUUGAUCUAUCAUGCUCCAUGAGAGAGAUUGAAAUGGCUAUACCCUAGUAUAAGCCAUCAUAUAAAAAAUCAAUCAUCGAUGAGAGGGUUAUGCGCUAGUGUAAACCUUCUCACAGUUUCUCAUCAAUCAUGCUCCAAGUAAUUUCCAACCAAUCUCAAAUGCUACCCAUGUGUGAGUUAUCAAGUAUAAUACAUGAGUCAUGGCCGUCAAGGUGGUCUUACGACCUAGGAUAGGAUGUAAUGUAGGCUAAGGCAAUAGCGUAAAAGAAACGAAGGGAAACUAAACUCAAUAAUCCUAAUGAUAUGAUCCCAAUGCCUUUGGCAUACACAAUGUAAUAGAUAAAGAAACUCAAAGAUUGUUGAGCUCAUAGAUGCUCUAUGAUAUAAAUAACUGAAUGAAUGAAAAUAUGAAAUUAUUGAAAAGAAAAACAAACCCAAGAUAAAAACUACACAAAAACCAACCAUCCACAUGAAUGAGUUAGAGAAAUGGAAAGGACGAGUGUGAGACUCUAAAUUAGGCUCAAAUGAAUCAAAACAAUAGUACAAUGGCUAGAGAUAAAGUAGGCAAUGUCAACAAAUGAUAACUCAAUAUACAAGUAAAAAAAGAACAUAAGCAAGAUGAAUGAGAAUAAAACUCCAAAUAAAAAGUGUAAUUGAGUACAAGAGAAUAAAAAUGUCAUAGUUAGGGAUAAAACCCACAACUCAAUCAUAAUUCAAUGUAUAAAUGAGAUAGAUAUAUAUAAUAAGAUGAUCAAAACUAUCACACAAGCCGUUAACAAAGACUAACAUUAUAUUUUUUUUUCUUUUUCUUUUUAAUAAUAAUUGAACCAAUGAAUUAAAACAAUCAUGUACAAGAAUCCCAAGGCAACCUAUACAAAUCUUGAUAUAUAUAUAUAUAUAUAUAAGAAGACUAACCCGUAUGUACAUAUAUGAACUCAUAAUGACAGAAUAAUGAACAAUAACUCAAAUGGGUAAGUAUUAAGAAGAGGUAUGGAUGAAAGAAUGCAAAUGAUCAAGACGAAAAUAAUGAAUACAAAGAUGAAUCACUUGAGGAGCUCACAACCUAUGUGAUUACUACUCAAAAAGUGCUAUUUUGUAGCUUGUAAUUAAACUCUUUUAAACACUCUUGAGUAGUAAUUAUUACCUUUUAACUCAAUUGACAUGUUAAGGACCCUUGGAAUCAUUUCUAAUCAAAUUGUGUUAAGUUUUGGUGUUUUUGAUAGCUUUUUGCUCACCAAAGCAAUCCAAGAAUGAGGGAGAGCUGUAUAUAGUUCAUGGCAAAGCUUUUGGAAGCUCAAAUUCAUGACGAACCAAGCUUUGGAGCUCCAUAGCCCUUUGCCAAAGUCGUUCAAAGUAUGCAAGGAAAGAACAAUGGAGAGAGGAAAAACAGAGUGAAGAAAACAGAGGACAGCAGCUUCAGUAUUCUUUCACACUUUUGGAGCACUUCCCGAAGUCCAUUUUCUACAUGAUAUAUACCAUUUCAAAGCUCAUGAAGUAAAGAAUUCAACGCUUCAAACUGUGUAUGAUUUGGAGCUGAAAUGAGGAAGAUAUGGCCUUCGCAAGACAACUGCAUCCAGCUGAAGGACAAAUUCGCAUCUUGCGAAUUUGGAACUCCAACGUGCGAAAGUGAUUUUGCAACUUGCGAACUUGGAGCUCAACGUGCGAAAAUGGAUUCUAAGUUGCGAAAUCAACUUGUGAAAUUUUCGCAAGUCACCAUACAACGUGCGAAAAUGGGAUAUUUGUGCACCGACUCUUUUAGAUCUUUUCUUCAGAUAUUUUUGUAUAAAUUUCCAUUCUUCUCCUUGUAAUCCACGAACCAUAAGAUUUCUUAGCUAGGAAGGUUGGAAAAAAUUCUCUAUAUAUAUUCCCUUGCAUCCAUUGUAAUAAAUAUCGAUCAAUAUAUAGAAGUAUGUAGAAUCGAUCAAUAUAUAGAAGUAUGUAGAAUCGAUCAAUAUAUAGAUAUUUAAAUAUAUAGACUAUACAGAGCUUUGCUCUGUUUUUCUCUCUUCUCCUGUUCUUCCCCAUUUCUAUUUUCUUAGUAGCCAAACAGCCUUUAAGGGCUUUUCCUUAGAGGAUGAUUGGCUAAAACUUUUAGUUUCUCAAAGUAUGGAUGUUAUGUGAUGACUUGGAUGCAAUCCCAUGGAAAUUUCUCGCACCUGGAAGGUAAGGUAGUCGUUUUUCAUUAAAGGUUCAUUAAUGCAAAGUUUGGUUUUUAUUUCCUUUGGACAACUUCCAACGGCCAAUACUUGAUAAGCUUUUGGAUUUCUAUCCAUUAGUUAUCUCCUACGAGCUAUUGGAAGGUGAGGUUUUCAAUUCCAAGUUUUGCAUUAAUCCGUUAGAACCAAUUUCAAUGGCCAUUGAAAGGUGAGUUUAUCACCUGGAAUGACUUUGAGUUGCCAAUAUUUGGUAAGCUUUUGGCUUUAGACCAUUAGUUAUCUCUUACGAGCCAUUCAAAGGAAGUCUAAGGUGAAUAACCAUUGAUGAAAUUCACUACCAUCUGUUUUGCCAUUUUAAAGGAUUAAAACUUGAUUUGCUAAAUCCAUACCGGUUCGGGAAGCAAGCAUCACCAUAGUUGCAACCCCAACGCGAGGAGCCUAUCCUGAGAUUUCCAAUUUGCAUAAGAGCCAGAGCAUACCUAUCUUAUAUUUGAGAAACUUGUUUUUACACCCUUUCAUUUUAGUCUUUAAUGUUAGCUUAGAUUAGUUUAAAUCUUUCUAAAACAUUUACAUCUUCUUUUAAAGCUAACAUCCAUAAGAUAAUCACCUAUUUUCCUAAUUUGAAUAUCACUAGUGUUUGCGAAAACCCAUCCCAAUGAACGAUCCUAGAACCACUAUGCUAUAGUAGCUUGGCUACUUUAGUAAUAGUAUUUAAGGUAUAAAUUUUGUUGAUACGCCUUUAAAGCUAAGCUACCAUGAGUCGAAUCACUAGGCGAUCUUAUCUAUGAGCAAAGAUGUGCCAAGAGACCCUAACCCUAGGUAUGAGAAACGAGGUAAGUGGGGUGAAAAAUUAAAAGGCUAAAUGUGCAUGACUUAAUUGGCUAGCAAAGGGUAACUUUAUACACAAAGGUGAUUAGAUAAAUAUGCUCAUGAAAUUAUGGCCACCCAUCCUUUGAUCACAACCUUAAACAUCAUGUUCUUAAACUCUCACAUGGUCAACACUAAAGAUUGGUGUCCAUUAAAAUGUAGGCAUUCCAUCAUUCUAAAAUCAUGCAUAAAUAUCCCAUUUUGGAGGCUCUAUGACAACCUCAAGAUGCUCAUCUCUACCAUAGAAUAGUCAAUGAUCUCGUGCAAUUAAUCACCCUGCUCAUCAUAAGUCACCCUUCUCACCUCAUAAAAUCAACCUCAAGUACAAAGAACAAAUAAAUAGAUUAGAACAAUGUCCAUGUAGAUGACGUUGCAUUAGCUAUGAUAAGAAGGGAUGUAAAAGUCAUGUUAUGGUGUCAAGGGGUUAAUAUUGUACAAGGAUCAAGAUAGACAGGACGUAAAGGUUAAGAUGUGAAUGAAAGUGAAUAAGGUACAACUCUUAUCACAAGACAAAUGAGCCACAGUCUUAAGCUCCCUAAGUCAGUCCUUUAGUCCUAGCUUAAGGGGCUUAAUAUCAUCUAUGAUGGGUCAGGCCUAAUGAUCAUGAUAAGUAAGUGAAUAAUGUGUCAUAUCGAAAGUUAACACGUGCACCAUAAGACACAAACAUAUAUUCAAUGAAAAAGGUCAAGUCUAAUGAUCAAUGUACAUUCAUAGUAGAAGCAAAUACUAACAGGUCAAAACACUUUAUAAGGAAUACAAACUCUAACUACACCUCAAGACUAACACAAACUCAAUAACCAAAAGGACUAGCUUUGAUGCAACAGAAAUAAAUAGUCUUACCAACUAUGACACCAUUUCACCUAGAAAACACCGACUAGGUUCCCAAAACUCUAACUAACAUGACUCAUCUAAGGAACCUAUCAAUGACCCAUAGAAUAGAAAACCUUAGACUUAGGUCUAAAAAUUUCAAAUAAACAUAUCCUAUAAUGCUACACCUGACACACAACCUAAAUGACUGACAAUACAUUUAAAAAGGUAAAUCCUCUUUAUAUACAACAUCUUAAGGUUGACAAAAUUCUAAGGAGAAGAAAACUAUACAAGAUCGACGAAUGUAUAACCUAGAAGAUUGAUUAACUGAAUCCAACUAAUGAAGUGUGAAGAGAAUGAUAAUACAACUAAUCUAUGUUGAUGGAACUCUAAUGUUGAUGCAAAAUUGUUGUUAUCAAAUUCCUAUACAUGAAUGCACCUAAGUGUGGGUAGGUGUCCUAGGUCCAAGGAUCUAAUUCUCCUUUUACAAAGUAAAAGUGGCUUUAAAAGGUAGGAUCAAAGGUACUGAGUAGGAGAAAUUGUACUCAUUACCAGUACGUAACCUUCUACAAGCCUCCAAAGAGACUAGAAGUUUCCAUGUAAGGUGGUCAUCACCUCUACACAUGCACUUCCUUAACAUCCUAGGGUGGUUUCUUAAUGAUUAAGGUUUUCUACUAGUUAGCGCAUGUUACCUUUCUCAACACACAUAUAAGAUGAUCUAAACUGUGUAGUGUGGCAUAAGUGCAUCCAAACAAUAUCUUAAACUAAAGCAAAAAAGUAAACACAUUGGUCACACAUAUAUCUUGAAUCUAGUUAUGGGUUAUACAAGUCUUCAAUGAUCAAACUCCAAAUGGCGAUGAUGUGGUGACCUCCAUUGACAUGACGUUGAUGAUGUCAUGAUGCUCUCUAAGGCAUCACAAAGGUGCAACAAGAUAAGAUGAUGACAUGAAAAAAGAAAUGUGGAAUGAAAUGUUAAGGUAUGAUGAUGAGGCAAAGUGAGGUUGACAGUAAGAGUGAGAUAAUAAGUUAGGAUGCUGAUAGGAUAAGAAUAAAGUGGAAAUGAUGAUAUGGCAAUGUAGGAUGAUGUUAAGGCACUAGGGAUGUGGCAAAGUGAUGACAUGGUGAAGUAGGAUGAUGUGGCAAAGUGGGGUGAUAGUAGGGAUUAGGUGACUAAGUGGGAUGUUGAUAAAAUAAAAAUGAUGUGGCAAGGCUGAUAAUGUGGUAACCAACUCUAAGGCAAUUUCAUGGCAUUGAUGAUGUCAUGACAAUGCUCUGGGUGUUCCCAAACAUACAUUUAACCCAUAACUAGACCAUACUCCUAAUCACUAGCUUAGUUAGGAAACAAACAAGACACCAAGUCUCAUACACCAAAUAUGAGAUCAAAAGAAGAAAAUCAACCAAGGUUAGAGAGUUUGAGAUAAAGAGAUAAACAUGUGUUCUACACAAAGAAGCAAAACAUGCAUUAUGUAGAAGAAGGGUAGUCAUGCAGCAUACAAUUAUGCAAAAUAGAUAUAUACAAAUAUGAGUAGAUAUAUACAAACACAUAUAAUGACAAAAAUCAAUAUAUAGUAAGGCACGUGCAAUAUAUACAAAGUAAUCAUCAACUCAACCUCUCAUAUGCCCUAAAAUGUGUAAGCAUACAACAGAGGUACAAUGUGAGGGUAUCCACUAAUCGAUUAAUUCAACAUCACAUUUCCCCUCAACUUGAGUUCAAGCUUAACCUUCUAAACAUCCCUAGUGGAGUCACCAUUUUAUGGGCCUACAUUUUUCAUGUGCGUCCCCACUUGACGAUGAGAUACGUUUCUAUUAUGAAAAACUAUAUAUAUAUUUUUUUUAUAAAAAAAGUUGGGGUUGGAAUUGCCACUUAUUUUUGUUUAUUUUUAAAAUAGAAAACAAAAUAAGAAAUGAAGCUAUGAUGUGACUCAUUUUUUAAGGGAAAGACAUCUGGACUUGCAUUUUUCAUGUGCAUCCCUACUCGAUAGUGAGACUCGUUUUCUUAGUGAAAAUUUGAUUUUUAUAAAAUUGAGUCAUCACUUAUUUUUAUUUAUUUUUAGAAGGAAAAAUAAUAUAAGAAAUAAAACUCUAAAAAAUGACUCAUUAAUUUUGAAAAGGCGCAUCUUUGAAACAUUGAGUCUAAGUAUGAAUCAAGGUCAGGUUACCUAUUGGGAAAGUAUUACAAAGGUAGCACCCCUUUAAAGCCCUAAAAAGAAGUCUCUUCUGACUAGGUUGAGGUAAGUAUGACAAUUAAUUGAUAAAUUGUGGAUCCUAAAAAUAACAAAGGUGAUUAUAUCUAAGGCUAAACAAAAUUUUAUUCACAUUGAAACAAUCAAACCACAAAAAUCAAUCAUAUGAGAAAGGAAGACAAGCAUACCUGAACUACAACCUAAAACACUUUCAUAAAAACAUCAAAGUUAGUUUGACAAACAAUACAACAUACAACACAUGUUCCAUCUCAUUCAAGGAAUCACACACCAAUCAUAGCAUAACGAAGCAAUAUCAAAUAAGAAGAUGUUGACAUACAAAACAUAUCUAUUUACAAAACUAAGGGAUAAAAGUGUGUGCAAUGUACCUAGAUUGCAUAAAUAACUUACAAGGACUUUCCAUAAAGCUAGAGGGUGGUUAGAACAAUUAUAAUAAUAAAGAAUUGUGAUAGUGAAUACACAUGGUAUAUGUAUAGCUUAAAUGAAAUGACAAGAAUCCAAAUAAUUAUAAACUAUCACCUAGGACAUCCAUACACCUCAUUGUUAAGGCUAAACUAUGUACAAGAUAGCUUAAAAAACACCAAAAAUUAGAGAAUAGGACAAAGCACAUAGGAAAGGGUAGAAUAGUUGCAUUUACUUGAAAAACUCUAAACAAAUAUCCAGAAGUAUUACUUCAUCAUAGGAAAAAAAAAAUCAUACAACAUCCUCAUUAUGUCUAUAAUACAAUACCAAAGCCAAGAGCAAGAGAUGAAUAGUCAAUUAACUCUAGAUUAAAUAAUAAAUAAAACAUUAUAUAAAAAUUUCAUCAUGCAAACAAAUCAUAAUAUAUAUAUAUAUCUAGAAUGUGAAUUUAAUUACAAAAAUUUUCAAAGAACAUCUCCUAUAUGUCCAGCUUAUCAUCCAACUAGCCAAACAAUAUAUUGAGGCAUUGAUUAAUUCCAAUUUACAAAAGUAUAUCAAAAGGUUCAGAAUAUGAUAGAAUUUAAUAUCAUCCAUAAACUAAUUUUUUUAACCAAACUAGAAGUGCUAUAAAAUCAUACAAAAAAUCAUGCGAUAUAUUCAAAAUGUCUAAUUUACAAGAAAAAUAAUAGCAAGGCAAGAAAGUAUAUGGAUCAAUUCGAAAAACAAUCAAAGAGGCUCUCUAUUAUAAAUUAGGAUAGUGUAGUGGGUACAAUAAAGGAAAAUUAUUUUUCUUUAUUAGAAAAACGUUUUUAAAUAUUUAGUGCAUAUAAAAUAAAUUUCAAGAAGUCUAGAAUCUAGGAAAAAAGGUUAAUUUUUUUUUUCAAAGUCAUCUAGUAAUUCAAAAAUACAAAAAACAAUGAAGGUAUUUAAAAGUGGGCAAAAAUUGAACCUACCAAAAGAUUAAUUGAUAAUUUCCAUUUGAAAUAUGAUUUUUGAUCAAACAUCUAAAAUCAAGUUCAUGAAGUUCACAAUUUCAUAUAACCAUAGGAAAAAUCUUAGGAGUAUUAUAAAUUAGCCAAAUCAAAAUUUUAUUCUAGAGACGCAACAAAUCCAAAACGAUGACAAUAAAAGGUUUUUAAAAAAUAAUUUUAUGUAGAGUUUCACCAAAUCCUCAUUUGAUAUACACAAAUCUAGACUACGGAUUCCCAACCUUGCAUAAGUAUUGACAAACUCAUCAAAACUGAGAAUUAUCCUAUUUAUUUAGAAACACAAGCUUGGAUUCAUAUUCCACUCAAAAUCAAAAUUUUUUAUUGAAAAUAAAAGAAAUGUGUUAACCAAUUAAAAAAUGAUUGCAUAUUUUUAAGAAAAAGUUUUUUUUUUUUUUUCCUUUUUGACCCUAAGAAUUAUAGAAGGAGUUUUUGAAAUACAUUUCAAUAAAGAACAUUUUGAGAAAAGACUUUUUUUUUUUUAAUAGAGAAAAGUUGCAUUUUAAAACCAUAAAAUAUAAGGAUAAAAAACCAAACAAAACAAGAGAAAAUAAAAUCACAAGGUGAUAUUUUCUAGCAACCAAGCAAAGUAAGUGAGAGUAGAGGCCAAUCUUCAUGUGUUUCCAAGGGCAUAAAAAAAUCGAAUUAAAUGAAAGUUCACUAAAGCAACAAGCAAAGUAUUUUAGAUUAGAUAGACUAACAAGAUAUCGAUUCAGGAACUAAUCACUAGGAUUUUAAAAGCAUAUAAAUUAAGAUAAGGAUGAUCAAGAACUUACAUUAAUGAUUUUAAAACAAAUAUUAAAAAAACAUGGGAUCAAUUUAGCUAAGGAACUAAAAUUAUAGAAGUACCUAAACUAAUUAAAAUGACUUUGACUAAAUUAAAGUGUAUACUCUCCAUUUUGUCCUCCUAGCACAUGUCUUAUUAGGUAUUUGUCCUGUAUUUUACAACAAUUCCUUGGUGGCCUAUUACUACUCCUGUAGCCUAUCUUUUAUAAGCCACCUUGGGGACUUUGGUUGAGGGAUUUAUUUAUCCCCAUUGUGACUCUUGGCAGCCCUAAUUUAGACUCGGGUUCACUUAGACACCUUAGGAUCACUUAGGCACCUUAGGUCCACUUAGGCACCUUAGGUUCACUUAGACACCUCAGGCCCACUUAGGCACCUUAGGAUCACUUAGACACCUCAGACCCAUUAGGCACUUUAGGCUCACUUAGACACCUCAGGCCCAUUAAGCACGACCUUAGGCCCAUUUAGGUACACUUGGCCCAUUAGGAUGCACUUGGGCUCAUUUAGGCACAUUUCAACUUUUUCUAGGCCCAUUUAGGCAUGACUAGCCCAAUUAGUUUUACCAGUCUUGCUUAGGUCACCUUUCAAGUAGGGUUUCAUGGCUUGUAUGACUAGCAUGUGCUUUAUUUUCUUAUUUUAUUUUAUUUAUUUAUUUAUUAGUUUUAUUCAUUUACUUAUUCACUUUUUCGAAAAAUUGCAUGAGAAUUUAGAUUUUAGUUUUUUCUAAUUGCAUGAAUUGAUAUCUCAUAUAUAUUCAUAUAUUUACUUUACUUUAUUCAUCUAUUCAUUUUUGUAGGAAAUUGCUUGAGCUUCAUAUUUUAAUUCUAUUAACGUGUUUGAUAUCUUAGUUUUAAUUGCAUAAUUUUAAUUUUAAAUUUUAAAUUUUCAACUACAUGAUUUUUUUUAUUUUACCAUUUACUUUCUAUUUCAAAGGGGAUGAGGAAAUAAUUUCUCCUAAUGGCGUCGUUGAAGGUAUUUUCAUCAUUUGGGACGACAUAAAGCAGAGUCGUGGUUGUGGAUUUUUUAAGCUUCCUAAUAGAAAUAUGGCAGUGGUAGCAAUCAACAAUCAAUGUAUUAAGUGGAAAUUACAUGAUGAAGGGUUAUGAUUUCUGAUUUUUUAGAAAGUGGAGAAUCAGUCCAGAGGAUAGUGGCAUUUUAUUCUGAAAUAAAAUUUCCAUAGUUGGUUGUUGUAAGUGAAAAGAGUUGGAUGUAGUGUGUAUGUAGACAGAAAGUGAGGCCAAGUUCAAGCAAGAUGGGUCUGAAAAAGUUACAGGUACAAAGGAAAAAAAAUAGGCAAAGGAAGAAGAAAGGAUGGCAAACAAGUGGAUCAGUGAAAUGAGUCUCCCAACAUCAAUAGCCAAUAUCUUCGUUGCUCGCAACAUCACUACUGCCAAGGAAGCAUUAUCUCUAACUGAAUUUGAAUUGAUGGAGUUAUUGGAUGUGGGUAUGGCAUGAGUGACAUUUGCAGUGGCACACAUUAGCGAAAUUGUUUCUUCACUGAUGUAAAUUGCCCUGUUACUGAUGGAACAAAAGGUUUAGAAUGAGUGUAUGGUUGGCCAUCUUCCCACAUGCCUCAAAGGGUUGGAUGAGGCUUUAGGGGAUGGAAUCCUAUUUGGUGUUCUCAUUGAGUUGGUUGGCCCUCUCUUGGAAUUGGCAAAACCCAAUUUUGCCUUAAACUCUCACUAUUGGCUUCUCUACUGGCAAGUUAUGGAGGCUUAGAUGGUCGUGUAAUAUAUAUUGAUGUCGAUUCCAAGUUUAGUUCAAGAAAUAUGAUAGAAAUUGGGUUAAAGAGUUCCCAAGAAAUAUUACAUAUGGAAGGAAUGGCAAAGUAGAGGAUGCUGAUGGAAAAUCCAGAGUAUCCAAUGAGGACCGGCCAUUAUCAUUUUGCACGACAACUAUGAAGUCAGUAUAUCUAUGGAUUGUCAUGCCCCAAAAUGUUGCCAAGUCAAACUCUCGGUUCCUUUUAUUAAUGCAUGGAAUUAUUAUAUUUAUUAUAAAUAUCAUGUCUUUAACCUGUCACCCUCUUAUCUCAUGUUUAAAUUGGAACUAGUUAUAAACCGAAAAUAAUCUGGAUAUAAUAUUAAUUGCAUAGAAGCUAAUUUAGGUAGAAUUUUUUUAUUUCCUUUGAAUAAACCUAUCAUAAAGUAAGAAAAACACAUCAAAGGUAGCAUAAGACGGAUCAAAAGACUAUGUGUCUCAUACUUGCGUCUUUAGAUAAUAUGUUGCAAAAGCAACACAUUUCUAUUGCCAUGGUCUAUGAUAUUCUCUUUAAAGUUGCAAGGGCUAUUUUGUGAUAAAGGUAAGUCAACUAGACAAGUUGCCCUUAGGACUAUUAUGAACAUUAGGAUUCAUGUUGUCUUAGAGAUCUUACUAGAUUCCUUUAGGAUAGGUAAGAAGAUUCUUAAAGAGUAAAAUGGUGUUCAUAUGGAAGUCAAGGUUCUUUAGGUUCUUCUACUAAGAAGAAGAAGAAGAACACCAAAUAAGGAAAGUUCAAGAAAAGAAAUGAGGGAGCAAACUCAUGGAUGGUAAUUCCUUUAUGAUCAAUUAGAACACUAGAAAAGGAAUUCUUGGAGUGCCUAAGGAUAGGCAAGUACACAACAUGUUCUCGUUGUUGAACUCAUAGUGGUGGAUUUCACCAAUUGUGGUGGAUAGAGUCCGGGCCCAUUAUAAAAAAAUGAGAAGAUCACAUUGAAUUUAAGGCGGAAUCGAAUAACCUAUUGGGUAAACACAUCAAGGCACUUCGAUUAGAUUAAGGUGGUGUGUCUAGUAGGUUCAAUUCUUUCCAUAUGGAGCAUGCGAUGAUAUCCCAAUUGUGUGCACCAAGGACUCCAUUGUAAAAUGGAGUAAUGGAAAGAAGAUAUUGAACUUUGAUAGAUAUAGUGAGAUUGGUGAUUGGUUUCUCAUUACUUCCCAUAUUCUUUGAGGAUAUAUCUUAGAGACUGUGUAAUACCUCUUUUUCUAAAGAGGUGCAUUGGUUUAUAGGAUAUCUAAGAGGACUUCAAGAUUAUUACUUUAUAGUUAGGAUAAUUAAAAGGUGUUUGUUGCUACAAGCACUAGAUUUUGUUGAACAGUAUAUGAUAUGUAAUAAGGCAAACAUUGAUAUAGAUUGGAGAAUACUAUAAGAUAGUCCCACUAUAUGGAAGAUACUAUGGAUCCACUACCAACCAUUCCUACUUCUAGUACAUUGAUGCCUCAUCGUAGUGGGAGUGUUGCUAAACAACUAAACCAAUUCAUGUAUUUGGAAGAGUCGACUUUCGAGGCCAUUCUAAAGGAACAUGAGAUCGAUCCCAUAGAGUGAGAUGAAGCAAUGAGCGAAGUGGAUGCACAUCUUUGGCAAAAGGCUAUGGAGGCAGAGUUAGAAUCCUUAUGAUUAUAAUGUAGUCUAGGUUCUUGUAGAAGCACUUGAAGGGAUAAAACCCAUGGGUAUAAGUUGGUUUACUAAAUGAAUAAAGGAGUAGAUGGAAAAGUUGAGAUUUAUGUGGCUAGGUUGUAUCUAAAGGUUAUACUUUGAAGCAUUAUUUCAACUAUAGGAAACCUUUCUCCAAUAGCCAUACUCAAAUCCAUUAGAGUACUCCUAUCCAUUGCGGAGUAUCUCAUUUAUGAGAUAUUUCAAUAGGGUGUCAAGAUAGUGUUCUUAAAUGAUUAUCUUGAUAUUAGCAUCUAUAUGAUGUAACCAGAUAUUUUCAUAGCAAAGGGCCUUAUGUGUACAAGAAACUGCAGGAAAGCAUAGUGGUGUUCUAGGAUCUUGUAGGUAGAUCACAAUCUACUCAUUCAGAAUGAUGUAGGGAUAUUGUCAUCAGUCAAGAUUUGGUUGUCUACUUGGUUAUAGAUGGAAAUCUAGAAGGGGCACAAUAUAUUCUUGGGUUUAAAGUCCUCAAGGAUAACAAGAAUAGGAAAAUUGUGCUAUGUCAAGCAUAUACUCAAGUAUCUUUUUAGAAUAAAGGAUCAUGUGCUUUUGCUCCAAAUUGUUGAAAUAGUUUAGAGGGUGACGUGAUGGUUGACAAUAUACCAUUUAUGGAGAACUUGGUGGAUCCAUUCACUAAGACAUUGACAGGGAGAGUCUAUGUUGGUGAUAGGGAUAACAUAGGUUUAAUAUGAGUAUCUAGAAUGCUUUAUAGGUACGAUGCUUUGAGGGUUAGUGGAAGAAUGUUAGAAUAGAGCCCUUAAAAGCAUAACAUGAUGUAAUAAAUUUGGAAUUUUUUAUUUAUUUAAUGAUGUUCCAAUUUCACUUUUAUUUAUCCUUAUUCCAUGUAUUAUACUUUAUGAACAUUCUUGUCUACAUCUUUUGCAUUGCACAUGACUUAGGCGCAUUAGGAGUUGCAUAGAAGAUCUAAGUCAUGGAUUCCUUGUAAAUAGAUGACUUAUUCACAAUCGGAUCACGGGUCUAGGCAACCUAUUAGAGGUUGUAGUGUACCACCUCCUAAGUGGAAGGAUGGUUGAUCUUGGCUAUCAAGAUGGGUUUCCCAUGGUGAGUGCACUAGUGUACGUGCUUACACAUUGAAUAGAAUCUAUGGUGAGUCAUGACUGAAGGUUGUCAAGUAGUCAUGACCUUACCAAGCUACUUUAUUGUGUUGUCUCUCAACCUUGAGAGAAUAUUAAGCUUGUGCUAAAGUUGGCAAUGGCUUUGACCCUACGGGUGAGAUUGUAAGUUGAUCAUAUAUUUUAUAUGGAUUGGGUCACUAUUGAUAGAAGUUAGUAGCAAUAGGUAUUCUCAAUAGAGGCACCAUGUUAUCUCAUGGGAUUGAGAUAGUGUAUCCUCUCGGGUGAUCCUAAGGAGGUGUGUUCAUGGAAAUUAUGGUCAUAGUAGUAGUUCCUUAAGUAGAACAUGACAUAGGCUCUUUGAGAGCUGAGACAUGUCAGUUGAAUACAUAAUAAGAGGACCUGUAAUUCAAGGAUAGUAGAGUUAGUCUUGAAAGGUUGAUAGCUUUCACCUUGUUAGACUAUGGACACCAGUUCAUGGGAAGACUAAACACAAUGGAUAGUAGGUCACGAACCCGAGCACGUAGUGUCUCAUUGUUAUUUACAUAGGAUACUAAAGUUCAAUUGAUUCUCUAUAGUGGGAUGUUGAAUCAACUUCCAAAUUGGAUUGUGAGGGAGCCAGUACACCUAUAGAUCAUAGUGGUCCCUGUUUUGAGCUCAUAUACCUUGUUGGUGUGGAUUAUGAGGGUCGGAUUAAGUCUAGGUUCACUUUUGUGUAUAAGGGCAUUUUGGUAAUUAUGCAAGAUUGAACAAGGAUAAGUGAACAAAGUCUCUAGAUUAGGCUAAUUGAUUAAUUAGUAGGCUCUAUUGAGUUAAUUAAUCAAUUAGGACCCAUUUUAGGCUAGAUUAAGUGACCCAAGCCCAUUUGAGCUUAAGUCACUAAAGCCCAAUUAGGACCCUAUAAAUAUCCCAUAGGGGUUAGAGUUUCCAUAAUUUUUGUCUUCCACCAUCUAGAGAGAAAGGGAGCCAUAGCCUUCACCCUCUUUUCCUCCCCACCAAAAGUGUACCAAGAACAAGGUUGAGUCAUCGGGCGGAAGAUCAUGGGUUUACAAGACGUCCAACAACUUGAAGGCUGUUUCAACACUCGGAUUUUAAGGUUUGGGAACAUUCAAACCUAAAGGUUAGUUCUUUAACCCUAAAAGAUCAAUUUAAAAAAAAAUUGCUAUUGCUUUCGUUACUUAGAUCUAAGAUGCCAACACUUUCAUAGUAUCAUCCAGUGAGGAUCAACUUCUUUUAAUUGAAGAAGACUCUUCCAAUGAGUCAAAUGAGUCUUCCUCACAAUUAUCUUGUGAUUGUGUGGAAAAUUGUCUUUGUAAUAUUAAAAGAAUAAAUGUUAUAACAAGUGAACAAAACUUCUUACUAGAAUUAAUAGAUAACAUUCCAGAUCCAAACAUCCAAAGGAAAUACUUCAAAAAAAUACCUAGAAUUUCAAAAACUAGACAAAUAACACAAAUCAGAAAAUACGAAUCAAUGCAAUUUAAAAAUUGUAUUAGAACAAUUUUCUAAAACUAAACCAAUAGGCAUUCAAGACCUUCAAAAUGAAAUAAGUUCGAUAAAACUUCAAAUCAAUACUAUGAUAAGUCAAAAUCAAGAAAUAGAAAACAAACUUCAAAUCUUAUAAAAUAAUAAGUCAGAAAACACCAAAGAUAAACAAGUGAAAGGUAGAGAAUCUUUUGAAUUGUUUAUAAAAACUAUAACUAGGAUGAAAUCUCAAAAAUGGUAUGUCAAAGUAAAACUCUUUAUCAAACUUGACUUUUCAAAAGAAUUUUUAGCAUUAGUUAAAGUGCAACCAGUUAUGGGAGCUUACAACCAAUUACACCAAUUAGAAAUAGGCUCAACCGAUUGGGAACCAACUCACCUCUCUUAGGCAUCUCAAUAAUUGCACACACUUUAACUAGGCAAAGAAAAAAACCCACCUCAAUACCUCAACUUGCACAAAUGCUCCCAAAACCAACAACAUGGGCAAAUGGCAUAGUUGAGUAGGAAUAGCUUUGAAGCAAUGAAGUGGGAGGGUGUGGAAGAUUUUUUUUGCUUAUAUAUACAAGAAUCGUAAAUAGAAAAAAAUAUUCUCAGAAUGAUAGAUGAUCACUAGGUAAAUAAGUUAUAGUUUGUGUGUGUGUGUUUGUAAUCUUUUAUUUUUAAGUGUUUUAAUGAAGUUGUUUUCUUUUUAGUCCUUGUGUUUUGUGUUUUUCUUUUUGUGCCUUUCUUAGGCCAAGGGGUGAAAGGACUUAGUUCACCUUUAGUUUGGUUGUUUGUGCUUGAAAAAAACUAUAACUUAGGUCAAUGGUUAUAAGGACCAAAAAUAGUCUCCAUUGGCUUAGGUCUGUAGUUACAAGGACCAAAAGGAGUCUUUACAAAGAGCAAAGGCUAUGGUUGUAAGGCUUGAAAUUCAAGCAACCUUGGCCUUAGUUCCUACAAUCUCAUACAUAUACAUAAACUCAUCCAAAUCAUUUGGCUAUGAUGACUCACCAAGAGCAAUCUAACCAAAAUUUUCUUUCAUUGAAGCGGGUGAUGCUUAUUUCAAUGGGAGCCUUAUGGUUGGUGUAAACCCAAGUCCUAGUCCUAAAGCCCAUAGCACAAGGCUAGUGUCUUGUUAAAGGUUCUGAGUUCGAGAGAAGGAAUCCAAAUGACUUUCCACUCUUGGAUAUUGUUGUUGUUGUAGUUUUUGUUGUUUCAUUUUUAAAUUUUAGUUUCUAAGGUCCUUUCCUCUCUCUUGAAAUUAAAAUUUUAUUGUUUUAUUUCUUUAACUAGCACUCACACCUCCAAAACUCCUACCAGUACUAUUAUUGAUUAAAGGUUCUCUAUGGAGACGACCUAAUUGCUAUACAAUUGUUAGUUUUUUUUUUCUAUAUAUAUUUUUGGUUUCAAAGUUAAGUGUUUCAACAACUUCUCUAGUUUAAAAUUAUGUUUUUGUAAAACUUUAUUGAAAAAAUAUUUACAUAUUUAGUUUUAAAUUAGAAAAACACAACUAAAUCACUCAAUUAGUUAGGCUCGACUAGUCAAGGAUUGGUUGAGGUUACUAAGAAUUCUUUCUUUCUUCUAAUAGUUAGGGUGUAGCCAGUUUAUGCAUAGUCUUAAUCGAUCAAGGGGCAUUUUAGUGGCAAUCAAGGAUUAAAUACACCUUCAGUUGAGGUUAGAAACCCCAAUAGUUACUUGUAGAGCAUUUAAUUCCUUAUGACUAGUUAAUCAAUCAAAUCGGUGUUGAACUGGUCAAGGGUUGACAUUUAUGACUUUUUAGGUUCUUGAGCUUGAAACAUAUAAAUUGAAGAUUUUAGAGCAUUUAUUGACUUGAGAAAAAUUACAUUCAAUUAAAAAAAUAUUAUUUCCCUUGUUUAAAGCUCUUCAUCCAAGUGCAUUGAUUUAUCACUUGCGAAUUUUAUUAGUGCACCUUUCAUAUCCAUCCUUGUUUCCUUUGUAUGAGACAAACUUGUAUCUAGGAUUGGAAGUGAAAAAUAGGUAUUGCUUUAAUACCACUUGAAUAACAACUGAAAGUCCAAUAGCGAACACCCAAAGGGGGGGGGGGGGGGGGGGGGGGGGGAAUGGUUGAUUUAAAAUUUUAAAUAAAGAUUUAUAUGCUAUAUCAAAUUCUUUUACCUUAAGAAUUUUUCAGGGUUAUACUGGAUAUUCGAAAAGGAGUUCACCCUAAAUCUAGAAUGAUAAAACUUAAUUUUUAUGAUUAAUUGACAUCCAACGAUUAUUUGGGGAUAAAAUUAAUUAAUUAAUAAUAUCUUGAGAGAUGUUAAGGAUAACAAUAAUUAGUUAUAGGGAUAACAACCAUAACCACAAAGCUAACCACCCUAACAACCUUAAUAGCAAUCCUAACAAAUCAAUCAAACUUAAUAAAAUAAAAUCUAAGAAGGAAUAUAUAGAUAUGCACUGUGGACCCGCAUUUUUCACAUGCGUCCCCACUCGAUCGGCGAGACUCUCCUUUUAUUUGUGAAAUUUUGAUUUUUGAAAAAAGUUGGAGUCGCCACUUAUUUUAUUUUUAUUUUUGAAGGGAAAAUAAAACAAGAAAUAAAACCCUAAAAAAAUGACUCCAUAAUUUUUGGAAAAACGUGUCUUUGAAAAACCCGAGUCUAAGUCCGGGGAUCAGGUUACUUAUUGGGAAGGUACCUUUAAAAGGUAGCACCCCUCUAAGCCCUAUAAAGGUCUCUACUGACAAAGUUAAGGGAAGUGUGGUCGUUAAUUAGUUAAUUAUGGAUACCUAAGUAGGUUAGGUGAUUUCAAAUAUUGCAUGCCUAACAAGAAAACAAACCAUGAGAGAGAAUCGAAGUGCGUACCUAAACGGCUUUUCAAGCGCUAUCACAAGACAUCAAAGUUAGUAUAGAGAUAUAGCACACAACAUGCAUUUUAUCCAAGCAAGUCAAACAUACAUCUAAGCACCCAAGGAUUAAAUCAAAGCAUGGAUAUAGCUCAUGAUAGCAUGCAUUUUCAUAAAAUUUUGGAAUUAGAGGAUAGAGAAUGUACCUGGAUAGCAAGUAGAUUUUAUAAGAUUCCUCGAAAAAUGCUAGAUUGGUUAGGGCAAGCAUAAAUUAUAUGAAAUAUCCAUUAUGUCUAAUAUACAGUUUCAAAGCCAAAAUUGAGCUAAGACAAAUUAAAUGACUCCAAAAAUAAUAACAAUUUCAAGUAAGGUAUAAAACCAUCAGCAUGCAGUUAGAAAAUGAAGCAUCAUAAAACAAUUUCUAAAAAAAUGGCUUAGAGUGGAAUUUGAUUACAAAAAAUUUCAGGAAACAACUCCUACACACCUAGAUUAACAUACCAAAAGCCAAACACUCAUUCAAAAGACAGAUUAUCGCAAAGGCACCUAAAGGUUCUACAAAGUCCAGAUUAGAUAAGGAAAAGUGACGUGCAUAAAUGAAUUUUUUUAAAAAUAAUAAAUGAUCAUAUAAAAUUAUAAAAAAAAUCACGCACAUAUUUCAAAAUGUCUAUAUCGCAUAAAAAAUAAAUUCGGGGUCGAAUAGUACUCAAAAAUAUUUUUAAAACUAUAAAUCUAAUCAUAUGUACAAACUUCAGCAUGCGCAGUAGGCACAACUUUGAAAAAUCAUAUCUCCCUCAAAAAUGCGUAUUUUCUAAUAUUUUAUGUGUCUAAAAUCAAUUUCAAGAGGCUUAUAAUUGAGAAAAAAUUGAAUCAAUUUUAAAAAGUCCUCUAGUAUUUUAUUUUUUCCAAAAGAUCUUGGGUGUUCAGAACUAUGUGAAAACGGAGUCCCCCUAAAGACUCAUUUAUAUCUUCUAUAUCGGAAUGACUUUCUAACUCAAACAAAACCUAAAAUUCAAGAUCAAGAAGUGAGGAAAGUCAUAAAAUUUCUGGAAAUUUUUUACAGAUAUCCUAAAGUUGUCAAAAUGAAUUUUUGAAGUUGAAGGGUCAGUGGUUUGAUGAAAACUGGCAGCAAAGAUUAAAUCAUUUAACACCUAAGAUGGGUAGUUCUUUUCUUUUUAACAAACCGAUUUUAGAUCAAGAAAUCUCAGUAGGAAGGGGUCUCAACAGGUAUACUGAUGUUAUAGCUGCACCUGAGAUGACAAAGUCUUGUGUAUUUUGUAGGAAGAUAAUCAUAAACAGGGUGCACAAUGGGGAAUUCAUGUCAGAAUGGUGGCUACUCCCUUACGUGCUGAAGCUGAUGUAUAAUAUAAUUUCCCCACUAGCUGCCACCAUCCCUACAUAUCUAUCACUAUCAUCCAGCCCUGAUCCCAAGGGGCCCACCAUUUGAAGUCUCAUUUUAAAAAUAAAUAAAUUUUAUGCUGCAAUCUGGACCUAAUUCCACUACCCUUUUGACCACUGAAGUUGUGCAAUGUACGAAUGUUUUGUCCACCAAUCUGCUGCUCUCUCUUUUAAGUGUACACCACUCUUAUAAAUCUCAUGCACAACUUCCUCUUUGAGUGUAUACACCCUCUCUCUCAAGCACAAAUUAGAACAUGAAACCAAUUAUAGAACAAAGUGAUAAUAACACUGAGUAAGGAGUUCUCAACAAACAUACCGAGGAACGCUCUUUUCUGGCAAGGAGGUCCCACUGGUAUGUCCUCUGAGAUUUCUUCAACCGCCCUCUCCUUCUUCUCCACCAACAGCUUCUCACUAGAAAGUCUUCUCUGAAACUCCAAUUUUUCCACUUCUCUCUCUUUGUUUUUUUUUUUUUUUUCUUCUAUGUGCUGAAAGUCCUCUCUCCUCGAAACCUAUCUGUUAGAGCUUUUUAUAGCAAAUAACAGUCCUUCUACGUGAGGAGUCUUCCUCUCUCCAAAUUUUAUCUUAUGCACCGGAAAAACUCCCUUUUUUUUAAUUUUCAAACAAUACCAAUCCACGCAUAUCACCUACAAUCCAUGCAUAUCAUUUAAAGAGUUUUACCAUUUUCAAAAACUUCUCCAAUGGUAGACUUCUUCCAUAAAAAUUUCAAAUUAUUAAAUUAAAUAAAUAAAUAAAUAAUAAAAUAAAUAAUAAAUAAUAAAAUAAAUAAAUAACUAAAUAAAUAAAUCGGAGAAUAUAAAAUGAUAAUAAUAGAUAAGUGAAUAAAUAACAAGAUAAUAAACAAAUAAGUAAGAAUACUAAAUAACUAAAUAACUAAAAAUGAUUGAUAAUAAUGAAAAUAAAUUAAAAUAAAUGAAUAAAUAAAACCAUAAUAAAUGAUCAAAUAAAAGUGGUUAAUAAUAAUAAUAAAAAUAAAAAUAAAUAAAUAAGUAAAUGAGAUAAAUGGGUCAUACAACCAUACAAGUCACACUAAAAAAAAAAGACUAAUGGGCCAAGUGGGCCUGAGUGAACUUAGACGGGCCUUGGGUGUCUAAAUGGACCAAGUGUAUCUAAAUAGGCUUAGGGUGCCUAAAUGGGUCAAGGGUGCCUAAGUGAAGUUUAGUCUAAAUCAAGACUACCGAGGAUCACAAUAAAGGGGCGGAUAAUCCCUUAACCAAAGUCUCCGAGGUGACUCAGAAAAAGGUAAGUCGUACGAGUAGUAAUGGGCCACCAAGGAACUACCGUGGAGCACUGGAAGUGAAUUUAAAGACAUGUGCUAAAAGGACAAAAUUGAUGGUCUACAUGCACCUUUUAUGAAAACCUUGAAAGAUAUUAGGGAUAAUCAAUUUAAUCUAUUAUAGGUAAUUCAAACAAACUAUCAAAUGUAAAAGAUAUAGAUAAUGAGGCACAAGAUUUUUAUGUGAAAAUCCCCCACAAACUAUGGAGAUAAAAAACCACGAGGUCUAAGACCUACCAAUCUAAAACAUUUUAAGUCCAAAAAUAAUGUUGAACCUUUUAUACCUCAAAGAAGCCUUAUAUGUCAUAAGCCAAACCUUUUUAAGUGUGCUUGUGACUUCCUAGUUGGAAAAAUAGAAACCCUUGGACUUCAAUGGAGAGCAAGUCACUAUAUAAAUGGAAUUUUAUUGCCAAACACAAAAUGGAACAAAAUUUACAACAUAUAAACAAGACUCAAUGCUCUAACAAUCUCCCCUUUUGGCAAUUUUGUGACAAAACAUUAUUACAUAAACCUACCCAAACUCUCAUAAAGGAGUUUACAUAACACACAUUAUCACUCAAUUUAAAAUUAAACCAAGGGAAUGCUUUGCAUCACUUUGUAGUUCUUAUCUUCCAAUGUUGUAACCUGCACACAUAUGGAAAAUAAUACCAAAGGUAAAGUAGUGUGAAAGAUAAAAUAAUAUCAUAAAAGAAAAAAGGAUAGUUAGAGACUUUGCUUGAUGCAUUGUGAAAGCAUAAAAAAGAAAUAGAUUCUUAUAAUAACGUCAAGGUGCAAAGCAAAGCUCAAAAGGAAUUUGAAUGUAUGCCAAUCAAGUCAACAUAAUAAAAACUAGAUAUUUCACAAUAAUUUAAUAGUAAAGUGACAAGAGCUUUUCACAACCAAAAUAUACAGAAGGAAAAACAUGGGAAAAAUGUUUUUUGAUUAAGAUUAGUUCUAGAGAUAUACACAAUUCAAACAAUAAUAUUUUACAAAAAAAAAAAAUUGCGUCAAGUAUCUCUAUUGAACUUUAAUGUCAAGCUUUCUAAGGUUGAUUUGGUUUACUUCAAUGUCUCAUAUUCAAUUUCCACCAAUAUUUCAAUUCAAUUCCCUUAAUGAAUAAUUAAAGAAUAAAAAAUAACUAACUCCGACCCCUUAAAUUAAGGAGUUUCUAUGAUUACCCUGUCUCCCCUUAUUUAUAACUCUCUCUUUUAAAAUGAAUUAAAUAUUUAAUAUAUGAUCUCCCCCUUUUUCUUUAUUUAAGCGAUUCAAUAUUCUCCAUCUGUUUUCUUUAUUUAAGAGGGUUGUUAAAUAUUCAAUGUUCUCACCCUUUUGUCACAAAAGUGGGAAAGUAACAGAAAUAUAAACACAAGAAAGCACAUAAGAGAUAAAUAGAAGAGUGAAAAACACAUAGAUAUGUAUAUAUCAAUAACAUGAUUUUGGAUACAUAAGAUAAGCAAUGAAUAAACAUACAGAUAAACAAACAUACAUACAAGGAAAAAUAAAAUAACUAAGCACUAGGAGGAGGUGGAGGAAAGAAGGAGCUUAAAUCGCUUUGAGUAUGGAUCCAAGCAAUUAUAUAGGUCAACUGACCCUACAACUCAUGGAAUUGAACAUCCUAUGAGUCUAACCUUUGAAGCAUUGAGGUCAUGGGAUCCAUCUCCUAAGUAGUUCAGUUUAUGGAAGUUGAUGUUCCAUGAGAAACUCUAAAUGAUCUAGCAUGACCCCGACUAGAGCGAGUCCUCAGAGCAACCUUAGGAAUGGGUGCAUCCUACUUCAUGGCUCAGAUCUCAUCUUCCUUAGUAAGUGCCUCCUGAGCAGCUUAUUAUGCCAGUGUAGCAUUCUCAGGGUCUUUGGGAACUGGAGGAACCAUGGGACCAUACAUGUGGUUGUAGUGUUUAGCCUAAGAGCUCUCAUCUAACAAGACAUAACCAACCUAGACCCUUUAUUCAAUAGUAAUUUCAAAGCCAAUGUGCCAUAAUAGUUUAGAGGUGAGGAGUUUGAAAGGAAGUGCACCACAAUAGAAGGAAAAAUCUCAAUAGGAGGUGGUGAUAUUGAGAUAACCUACCCAAUGUCGAACUAUUAUCCCGAGAGGAUGGAAUGUAUGAAAAAAGUAGUUGAUCGACAAAUCUCAAUAUGAUGGGACAAGGAAUAGAAAGAGUAAGGAAAGUAGCAAGAAUCCAAGUUGGCUUGGAGAAGCUAGCCAAUGGAAUAUACAUGGGAAGCUUUCAAGAAGCACCAUAAAAAGAAACUAGAAUAAAAACAAGCUCUCCAAGAGUGAAGCCUAAACCUCUAAAAGGAAGAGAGGAAGACAUGCAUCAAGUCGAGGCAUGUUGAGUACAUGCUUGGUUGACAAAGAAGUGAUUUAAAAGGACUGACCAAACAUGAUCACCUAGAAGGAGCAACCAGGAGAAAUGAUAUGCAUUCACAUAGAACAUGUGGACUAGAAGAAGAUUAUAUGAUUCUUAUAAAGUAAACAAGAACUCCCACCCUCCCCCGUUGAAAAUGGUAGGAAAAGGAGUAUCCUGAAAGGCACAAAGGUUAAUAGAACACUCGAUCUCAAUAUGAUGGCUAUGAAAAAAAGCAUAAAAAUGAUCACAAGACUCCCGAGACUAGAAACACUCAAUAGGAAGAUCAAAGUGGUCAAAAGGUCCCUAAAAAGCAAUGCCUUAAAUGGGGUCAGGUGAUCAAGGAGGAGUUGACUCUCAUUGAUGCCUACAUCUAGACAUAACUAAGGGAAUGCUAAAGGACACAAAAAUAGAGAAAAAUAUGGAGAAAAUAAAAACCAUUAGAAAUGUCCUAAAAGAGGUAUCGAACAAUACUUUAAAGUCAAAAACUCAAAAAUAAUGAAAACUAACCCCAAAUGUCAAAGAGAUGGAAUCUUAGAGCGCUUUAGAGAUUAGAAAAACAUUUGAAAUACAAAAAGGCAUGUUGGAUAGGUUUUUAUACCCAGACAUACCGUUAGAUACAGAUUAGUGCUCGAGUAGGAUGCUCGUUGGAUGUAACUUAGAGGGCUUAAGAGGUAAAGCUUAGAAAGCUUAAGCGGUAGAGCCGCUGGAUGAGACUUGAGCAUUGGAUGCAGCGCUCGAGCAAGAAUAACCUAAUUUCAAUUCUAAUAAAUGAUAGAAUACUCAACUAACUAACUUAAAGGGAAGGAUUAACACAAAAUGAAUGAACUUUUAAUAUAUUAAUCAAAGUAAACAGAUAAUUAAGUCCGUAUGCUUUUAAUAUUAGCUCAAUCAGUAAUAAAUUAAGUUACUUAAGACAGUACAUAAAAAUUCAUCAAGAAUCAAGUUUCAAGUUCAUAGGUUAGAGUUAAUCAUAAUCUUAAAUUCGAAAACCCAAUGCAUAAACCAUCAAUGUAGAAGAGAGUCAACAUAGAAACAUAAGCAUUGAUGUUCAAGGGAAUACGAUUACUGUCUAGUUCUAUAUUUUGAAAUUGAUUGCUUAGAAGAAAUCCAGUCAUGUCUUUAGUCAAAUUAAAAAACACAUCAAGUCAAUUUGAACUAAGAUCAUCGAAUUUGUAUUUAACACAACCUCGUUGAUCUACAUUAAACAUAACUUGACUCUCCCUUAAUUUGAUAUCGGUUUUUUUUUUCUUGAAAGUGAAGGCAUUGCAUACCAUGAUUAAUAUUGAUUUUUCUUUUUCUUUUCAUUCAUGGUUGCCUUUGUAUCCACUUUAGGGAUGUUUCCAAAUGUUGCAAAUGAAUAGUUUCCAUUUAAGAGCAUGAAUCUUAGAGAAGGUAUAUGAGAGUUAGGCUUAACCAAUGAUUCAAUAUUUUGCAUUGACUCACUUUGGGAAACAAAUAUAAUGAUCACAUCCAAACAAGGUAUGUGGAUAAUAAGAUUUGAGCAUGACAAUGGAUCCUUCCAAAGCAAUCAAAGUGUACUUUAUGAGUUCAACUUAAGAAGUCUCCCUUUUGAUCAAGUACAAGAUGUAACUAAUAUUGAAUUUUCUACAUACAAAGACAUUUAAUAAUCAUAAAUCAAAUACAUCAAUAGUGAUUAACAAAUAUCUAUGAUUUUUAGCCACAUCAAAUCUUGUAGAUAUAGUAUAUUUCUCUAAAUCACAAAAUCAAGGUAUUACAAAUCAUGCUAAUAUAUCAAGUAAAUAAACAAAAAAAUCAUAUUCCCAAAGUAAAAUAAGGUUAAAGGAAACAAAAAAGAUAUAAACACUAAGCUCAAAACCAUUGAGGCUUAUUUCUAAGAUAAUCAAUCGAUUAAGCAUAUGCCUAGGGAUUUCCUAAGGUACUCAAACAUAAGAGAAUCCAAGGGUUUGGUAAGACUAUCUGCUAAUGGCUUUCAAUGUGGUAAUAUGAGAAUGAAGAAAAAGAUUCUUUUUGAGAUAUUUAUUGCACUAGAAUUGUAUUAGGACAUCGAGUAUUGUUUAUAUGUUGGCAAUUUUAUUCUAAUUUUAUAUUUGGCCAUAUAAAUCUUUUUAGAUAGUGACUUGCUCUCCAUAGAAGAUCAAGGGUUGUUGUUCGUCCAACUGAAAGUCAUAGGUACAUCUGAGAAGGUUUGGCUUGUUGCAUAUAAAAAGCUUAUUUGAGGUAUAAAAGGUUUGAUAUCAUUUUUGAGAUUAAAAUGUUUUUUAAAUGAUUUCUCAAAAAGAAGGGGACGCUUAAGUGGUUAGAGCGCUCAAGAAAUUAAUCACGUUCAAGUGGUCUAAGUCCACACAAGUGGUAAUGACAGUCCUGUCGAGUUUAAAAACAUAUUUUGAAUGAAUUUCAAUCUAACUCUAAUUUGGAAACUUGUGAUACCAAAAUCCUUAUGGUUUUUGCCUAUAAAUACCUCCCUUGUAACCCUUUAAGGCUAAGAGAUUGAAGAUUAGAAAGAUCAUAGAGAUCUUAGAGUUGUUGGAGACCUCUUAUUAUUUAGAAGUACUCUUGAGGGGAUAGCCUAAUUUGCCACACCAUUCUCAUUCUCUCAUUCAAGCAUUUGAUUAUUUGAAUUGUUGGUUGAACGUCGUAAUCUCUUCAGUAGGACCAAAUGAUAUACUAGGGAGCAAUAAGUAGUUUUUGUGUCACGCAUGUGGAUCAAGUUGAGGUGUUGGAGAGUAAGCAUUUAAGGUAAAGUGACUAGGUAAAUCUAUGUGACUUGAUUUCAAAUAGUGGAUUUCGAUUGAUAGGUUUUAGACCUCGUGGUUUUUUUAUCUCCAUAAUUUGUGGGGGUUUUCCACGCAAAAAUAUAGUGCGUCAUUAUCUAUCUAUUUAUAUUUGAUAUAAUGUUUGAAUUUCCUAGAAUAGGUUAAUUUGUUUAACCUAAUAUCUUACAGGGCUAUUCUAAUAUAUAUAUAUAUAUAUAUAUAUUCAUUCCUCCAUAUAUUCUAGUUGAAGAUAUUGAAUAAAUUAGACUGAUUGGUUAAUUGGUUAUUGAGUUUGUUGAAUUGGUUCUCUUGUUGUGGUUAUACCUAUAAUCAAUUAUUGAUUCGUUGAUAUUAUUGUUGAGUUUGUUAGGUUGGUUAUUCUUAUUGUUAUUGUUAUCCCUAACAUUCUUCAACAUAUAUUGUUAAUCUUUGGAUAUCAAUUAACCAUAAAAAUCAGACUUUCAUUGUGGUGAAAUCCUUUUUGAAUAUCCGAAUUAUCCCUAUGAUAUUGAUUCAUAUCUUAUUGAUUAAAAAUUCAUUUUUCUUAUUUAUAUUGUUUAAAAAUCAAAUUUUUAUUAAUCAUAUAGGAUAAAAAUCAAAUUUUUAUUGAUCCUGUAAGUCUUAUAUGGAGCAAUCUAAAAGUGGUGCUAUUUUCAAUAGUCUACACUAUUUUGAUUGGAAUAAUUACUCCCAUUAGAAAGUACAAAUGAUGUUUUUCCUUCAAAAUGCACAGCGGAAGGGUAUGAAACUUAGUUGAAUAUGGUUGGAGACCACCAUUAAUCCUUGAUACUCAAGGAAGAUCAACAAGAGUGUUGGGAACCUUACUUCGUUCUCAUGCCCUAGAUCUCAUAGGAUGCAUGCAUCCAUCCUUAGGGCUCUCUAGAUCGAACACAAUGGAAAAUAAUGGUUUAUACAUAGAUCUAUAUGUUCCCAGAUCAAUUCCUUAUAGUGAAGAACAUGCUUAGAAAAACUAAAGAAUCUCUCCUAAUACUGCUACCCACGUGCACGUCCUAUGUGAUUCUCGUGAACGUGGCCCGUGCGUAUUCCAUGCAGUUCUCGUGCAUACGACCUAUGUGAUUAUAGUGGAUUUCUCGUACACCCAAGAUUUUUCGCUCGAUGACUCUUCCUUAUGUUUAGGCACUGAGAUGGUGGAGAUCUCGAAGGUGAAAGUUAUGGUUUUCUCUUUGGACUGAAAAAGGAGAAUGACAAGACAUAGAAACCUUAACCUCUAAAGGGAUAUUUAUGGGCUUCCUACAUGGCUUAAGUGACUUAAGCCCACCAUAGGCUUGGGUCACUUAAUCUAACCCAAAAAAGUUGUUAAUUGAUUAAUUAACCAUAUGAGACAGUAAUUAAUCAAUUAGCCUAGUCCAAAGAUACAAUUCACUUAUCCUUGUGCAACCUUGCGUCAUUACCAAAACACCCUUCUACACAAAAGUGAACUACAAACCCAUCCAAUUAUCAUAAACCAUGUCAUCAAGGAAUAUGAGCUCAGAAUGGGGACCAUUGGGACCUAUAAGAGUACUAACUUCUUCAAGAUCAAAUUCUAAAAUUGACACAAUAUUCCACUAUAAAGAGUCAAUUGCACUCUAGUACCCUAUGUUAUAAUGAGACACCAAGUGCUUGAGUCCGUGACCUUACUAUCCAUUGCAUGAAGACUCCCCAUGAACUACUGUUUGUAAUCUAACAAGGUAGUGCUAUCACCUAUCAAAAUUACCUCUCAAAUACUUGAGUUACAAAUCUUACUUAUUAUGUGGUCAACUGACAUACUCUAACUCCAAGGAGUAUAUGUCAAAUUCCACAAAAUGAAUUACUAGGGUCAUAGAUUUCAUGAUCACAUGUCCUUUGGAUCACCCAAGGACACUAUCUAGAUCCCAUGAGAUAUCAUGGUACUUCUAUUGAGAAUACCUAUUGCUACUAGCCUUCAUCAACAAUGACCUAAUCCAUAGGGAUAUAUGACCAGUUUAGGGUUUCACCCACAGGUUAAAGCCUCCUAUUGAUUUUAGUACAGACUCAAUAUCCUCUCAAGGUUGAGAGUCUAUGCAGUAUAGUAGCUUAGUGAAUCGUGACACUUGAUAGCCUUGUGUUAUGAUUCACCAUAAGUCCUAUACAGUGUGCAUCACAUACACUAGUGCACUCACCAUGGAAUACCCAUCCCUACAACCAAGACAAGUCAUCUCUCAAAUUAGGAGGUGGUGCACUACAAUCUCUAUUGGAUUGCCCAAAUCCAUGAACCGAUUGUGGACAACUUAUCUACUUAUAAGGAACCCAUGACUUCUAUAUUCUAUGCAACUCCUAAUGCACCUAAGCCAUAUGCAAAUGUAAGAGACAUAGGUUAAAUGCUUAAAUCAAUUUUAACACACCAAAAGGAUAACAAGAGGAUAGUUAAGUUUAACUUUGUUACAUCAUGUCUUAAUUUUAGGCACUCAAUCCCAAAAAACUCACACUAGCCCCAAAGGCAGACCAGGUACUUCAGAAAGAAUAUACUCUAUAAUUACAUCACCUUUCUAUCAUAUUUCAUAACAAGGUAUCACUUACUCUCAAUGUGUUUUCUCUUCUAGUGGUACUUUAGUUCUUUAGACCAUGCCAUCGUCCCAUUAUUAUUACAUAAUAGGAUCUUAGACAAUAUAGCCAGAGGAACUACCUAUAAGCCAAAAGGCAUCCUUUGUUUCUAUAGAAACAAUAAAAAACCACUUAGAGUGUACACAUACUAAAAGGUAGACCUACGAGAGUCCUUAUCAAACUAAGUCCAAUUUUCCUGUAUGAAAUGAGUACCAAAUCAUCACAAAAACUCACAAACAUAUAAUCCCCCACUUCCCAAAGAUACUAGAGUAUAUGCUUAACAUCCGCUUAAAGCUCUAAUGAAGAAAUGGACUAAUAUCCACUCAUUAUUUCUAGAACAAAGCAAAUAUCUGGUCUAGUACAUAGCGUUGCAUACUUAAGGCUAUCCAUUAUAAAGGCAUUGGAUAUCACCUUAAUGUGGUCUCUCUCCAUAGAUGUCUAAGGACAUUUAUUCUAAGAAAGACAACUCCAAAUCCAAAGAGUAAUAAAGUUUUCUUGAAGUUUUGCAUCAUAUACUUGACCAAAUGCUUAUCUAUGUAGAUGAUAUGGCACAAUUUUCCUAUUUUUGUAGUCCUAAAGGACCUUAAUCUUGAGAAUAUAUUGCAUCUUCCUCUAAUUUUUCAUCUAGAACUGAGUAGAUUGCUAGAUCUUGAUUGAUGACAGUAUCCCUACAUCAUAUCGAUUGAGUAAAUUGUCAUCUACCUACAAGAUCUUAGAGCAUCACCACACUUCCCUGUGCUUUUUUGUUCACACAAGACCCUUUGCUAUGAAAAUAUUUGGUUGCAAUGGAUACGAGUAAUAUGAUGGAUUUUAGUAUGACCACUAUUAAAAAGGUUUUUCACAGUUGAAACAAAGUUUCAAACUAUAACCUUUAGCUACAGUCUUAGCCACAUAAAACUUAAGCUUUCCAUCUACUCCUGUGUUCCUCUUGUAUACCAACUUACACCUAUGGGUUUUAUCCCUUUAGGUACUUCUACAAGACUUCAAACUAUGUUAGAAUACAAAGAUUUUAACUACCUCUUUAUAGCUCCUUUUCUUAAGUGAGCACAAACACUACUCACUGUUUCAUCAUAAUUUGUGGGACAUAAACCUCCUACUACGAUGAGGCAUUGGUGUACUAGAAAUCAUAGGAAUGUUAUGUCUUUAACUCUUUGGAUCCAUAGUAUACUAUGUAAUGUGAGACUAUCUUCUAAUAUAUCCUCCAAUUUAUAUCACUUUUUUCCUUAUUCCUUAUCAUAUAAUAUUUGUAAAAAAUAUGACAUUUGUGUGAACAAAUAUCUUCUAAUGAUGUUGACUAUAAGGGUAAUAACCCAAAAAUCCUUUUAAAUAUCCUAUAAACUGAUAUACCUCUUAAGAAAGAGAGUUAUUAGACAAUCUAUAAGACAUAUCCCCAAAAAAAUCUGGAAAACGAUGAGAAAUCUAUCCACGAUCUCACUAUGUCCAUCCAAGUUUGAUAUCUUUUUUCCACCUCUCUAUUUUGCAAUAGAGACCUUGGUGCACAUAACUAGGAAAUAAUCUUGUGAUCUAAGGGAAAAAAUCAAACUUACUAGACAUUUCACCUUGAUCUAAUCAAAGUGACUUGGUAUGUAUACCCAAUAGGUUAUUUGAUCCCGCCUUAAAUUUAAUGAAUGUAUCCAAGACAUCAUAUCUCUUAUGUACAUAUCCAAACCUAGAGUAAUCAUCACUAAAAUUAAUGCAAUAACCAUUGCUAGGAACCCAGGAUUUCUCCAUUCCCUUAUCCUGGAUCAAAUAGGUGCAUGCAAAACUACCUUAGGCCUCUAGAUCCUAUGCAACAUAACAUAUUUUUAUAAUUUUAGGAUCAAGAGGAAAGACAUUAGAGAACUUUACCUUUGAUUUGGAUGUUCCUAAAUCAACUAUGAUAAGAGAAGAUGAAAAUCAAUGAAUCUAGAAGUCUUGUACACCUAAGAUCCUCCGCUUGAUGACUCGAACCAUGAUCUUGACACUCCAAAGUGUGGAGUUUGGAAAGGAUGAUCUCUUUGAUCUUACUAUCUCUCUUUCUCUGGAGAUGGAAGACAAAGUCUCUCUUAAGGUUAUGGAAACCCUAGCCCCUAUAGGGUAUUUAUAGGGUUCCCCUACUGGGCUUAAGUGACUACAGCCUACCAAGGCUUAGGUCACUUAAUCUAGUCUAAAAUGGGUCUUAAUUGCUUAAUUAAUGAUUCGUGCCCAAUUGGUGUCUCAGCUGAUUCGUGUCCAGCUGGCGCUCCUUGAUUGAGGGAGUAAUUAACAAAAUUUAUAACCUAUUACACCAUAUACUAGGGUAGCAAAGACAAAGCUACUAUAGUAUAGUGGCUCUAGGAUCGUUCACUGGGAUGGGUUUUCACUUUGCAAAUGAUAUUAAUUCAAAGCUGAAUUGGUGUCUUUUCAUUUCAAGGUUAGCUUUAAAAGAAAACAUAAAGAUGUUUGAAUGAAAAAGGUUUGGUUUUAAACUAACCACAAAUAGUAACUGAUUUUAACUACAAAGAAAAGUGUUUCUUGGAGUUCAGAUCACUAGGCUCGUUCCUCAUACAAAAAGGAGAGUUCCGGUCACUUGUUUCUUUUCCUCGCAUUAGAGAAUUAACAUAUAGUUAAUUCUCUAACCGGUGUUGUACAGAUGCUUCCCAUUAAUGGGUUCAAACACUAAAUCCCUCUCACUGAUGCACUUUGCAAUGGCUCAUACCUCUCACCUAGCACUUGCCAUUCAAGGUGAUCUUUAACCUUGGACUUCCCUUCAAAAGCUCGCAAGAGAUAACUAAUGGAUGUCUCCUUGGAGUCCAAAAGCUUACCAAGUGUUGGCUAUUCUAGAAAAUCCUACCUUCAAGUCACCUCCCAAAGGCUCGCAAGGGGUAAACUAGUGCAUUUCCAUGGUUGGAAAUCACUUGCCUUACCAAGUGUUGGCCCAGGUGACUCUAAGGUGUUUUAAGUUAGCUAAAAACAUAGAAAUCACUAACGGGUUACACUUUCUCUUCAUUAAAAACUAAAACAACAAAACUUCCAAAUUAUGCAUGUGGAAACUUACCCGGCUUUCCUCACUCCAAGAGACAAAAAACUUAGCCUCUCAUCCUCUGUGGAAAAAUCCUCAGAGUUUGGUUGGCUAGAAAAUGAAAAUGAAAGAGAAGACAAGAAUAUAUAUGAAAAACAGAGCAAGUGCUCUGUUCCUUGAUUCUAUAUAUGAUAUAUCUAUAUAUUACAUACUUCCCCCAGCGUCUCCUUUUUAGUGUUUACAAAAGAGCUUAUAUAGGAAGGUAAUUUACCCUUCCUUGGAUACUUCCUAGCUAAGGAAUUACAUGAGUGGUUGAAUACAAGGAGAAAAUGGAAAUUUAUACAAAAAUAUCUGAAGAAAAAUAUCCAAAAGAGUCGGUGCACAAAUAUUAGGAAGCACUAAGGACAUUUCGCAGGUGAAAACAAGGUCUGCGAGAUUUCGCAGACACUCAAGAGGGCUGCGAAAUAUUUUCGCAACAACAAGUUAAACUCGCAGGGCUGCGAAAUUGGCUUCCACCUUGAGGUUCUCAGCGUUCCAGCUUGCGGUAUGUAUCGGGUAGCUUCAGGAGGAAUUCCAUAGCACUGUAUAAAAAGGCUGCGAAAUUCUCGCAACAAAAGGCUGAUUUCGCAACACUUUGGAGUGAUCUUCUUGAAAUGGCUGUAACUCCUUAAUUUCAACUCCAAAUCAUGCACCGUUUGAAGCAUUGGAUUCUUGACUUUCUGAGCUUUGAAAUGGUAUAUAGCAUGUAGAAAAUGGACUUCAGGAAGUGCUCCAAAAGUGUGCAAGAAGACUGCAGCUGCUGUCCUCUGUUUUCUUCACUCUGUUUUUCCUCUCUCCUUGCAUACUUUGAACGACUAAGGCAAUGGGCUAUGGAGCUCCAAAGCUUGGUUCUUCCUGAAUUUGAGCUCUUCAUUUCUUUGCCAUGGAUUCCAAAUAACUCUCCUCAAUCUUGGAUUGUUUUGGUGAUCAAAUUACUAACAAAAACACCAAAACUUACACAAUUUGAUUAGAAAUGAUUGCAAGGGUCCUUAACAUGUUAAUUGGGUUAAAAGGCAAUAACUACUACUCAAAAGUGUUUAAAAGGAUUAAUUACAAGCUACAAAAUAGCACUUUUUGAGUAGUAAUCACUCCCCCCAACCGACAUAUUGCUAGUCCCUUAGCAAUGAAGGAGAGAAAAAUAAAAAUAAACAUUACUAUAAUUUACAACAUCAUGCUGAUAAAAAAAACAAUUCUCAAGUGGCAUGAUGAUCUAACUCUCACAUGGAACAUUAAAGAAAUAAAACUCAAACUUCAACAAGAGUUAUCAAAUAACUUGUCUAAUCACAAUUCUUAAAGAGAAGGCAUUAUGCAAAUUUAAACUUUAAAAUCAUUUCCACUUCCAAAGGAUCAAGCCUUACUCUUCCACAAAAAUCUAAGUGUUAUUUAUUAGCUUCCGAAUAUAGUAUGUUGAACUAAUCUCUCCCCCCAACCUAGUUCUUUUUCAAAGCUUAGCAAACUAAUCAACCUCCAAUAGGCUAAGAACGCACCUCUUUUUUCACAAUUUUUUUCAUUGUAGGAGUACAAGGCUUAAAGGUAUUCUUUUCUAAAUUGUCCAUGUAACGGGGGUCCAUUGAUGACUCCCAACCAAUUAAGGUUUAGGGCAUCAAGUUUUAAGGAUCUUUCAACCACUAACUCCUCGGAUUUUACCCCGGACUUUUGAGAAUGAAUUUUAAUACCCAAGCACCUACAGUAUGUUAAACUCCACCUAUCCACCCUUGUAACGAGCAUUGAGGUCGGUGACUCCCAACCAAUGAAGGCUUAGGGCACCAGGUUUUAAAGAUUUUCACCAUAUACCCCUCAGACCUUGCUCGGGUUUCAAGGCAAGCAAACAACUUUCUUUAUUUCAAAGGCUCAUUGGCCUUCUGCAGGGUGUUUCAAUUUUUAUCAAAUGAGGUCAAAUAUACCAAGUCUCAAAAUUAUCCUAAGUCAAGAGGGAAAUAGCUUUUCAUCUUAUAAUCGGAAUCUAAUGUGCACAGUGUGUGAAUAGCUUAAAGUGGAAGAACUCAAUUUAAUUUCAGUAGAAGUUUCAACAAUUCAUCAACUUUAAUAAACAUAAUACAAACUCUAAGUCAAGUAAAAAAGACAAAAAUUCAAUUUCUCCCAUUUCAUUUUUGAGAAUUUUUCCUUAAUAACCAUGGAGAGUAGAGAAAAAAACUUAAAAAAAUUUAAAAACUUAGCAUUAUUAACAAUACUUACUUCCUCAACUCUCCCCCCAACCAAGUUGAACAUUGUCCUCAAUGUGACAAAAGCGAUUGAAAAAUAGGGAGGAAGUGGUACCUCUUGAGUAACAUGGAGUCUGAGUCGUAUAGGAGAAACCACAUGUUUCAAAGAAAGCAUAAGAGUUAGUGAGUAGAGGAAAUAGAAAAAUGCCAAGUUUAAACAAAAAUGAUGUCUAUAUAUGAUGUAUCAUCAGUAAUACAUCCAAUCCCAGAAUAUAAGACAUCAAAAUAUGAAAUUAUUUAUACUAAUAUAAUAUGUAAAGACCAAAAAGUAAAGAGAUGAUCAAGUAAUGGUAAGGUCUUGUGGAGCUUAUGCAUCUGUAGUGGCCUCUUGAAUAGGUUGGAUUAGGACUUUGGCCUCUGUUCUGGUAGUCUCCUUUGGUGGCAUAGUCUCCUCAACUAGAGCUCUCAGUUGGUAGCUAUGGGAUUUGAUGGUUUAAGGAGGUCAGUAAUGGAGCGAGAGGCUUAGUGUGUGUGAUCCCAGGGUGUGCGGGGCUCUCCUCUUCAUAUGCAUGGUUGCAGGGCUCUAUUGGCAUUUUAGCAACCUCCCUUGGCUUUGCAAAGUGUUUUUGCAAAUCACCCUCCAUUUCAUAAGUCAAUUUCGCAAUUUGAAGGCCAUUUCUAAGCUUGGAGGUGAUUUUGCAGGAAAUGGGCAAUUUCGCAGCCCAUUUCUGAAGCUUGGAGCAUUUUCGCAGCAGGGGGUGGAUUUCGUAGAGGAAGGGAAUUCUCGCAGCCCAUUUCGUAGCUUAAAAGUGAUUUCGCAGCUCAAAGGUGAUUUCGCAGCCAUAUCGCAGCUUCAAAAUGAGGGAACUGUGCUGCAAAUGGCACUCGUGUGCCAAAAAGUGGUUUCGCAGCUGCGAAACACCCUUCCAAAUGGUGUCUCGGCUGCGAAAUUCUCGCUCAGCUUUGUGCGCUUGUCUUCAAAUGACCAUAACUUCUUCAUUUCACCUCUAAAUCACAUACUGUUUGAAGCUCUGGACUCCUGACUUCCCAAGCUUUGAAACGAGAUAUCAUAUGCAUAAUUUGAGCUCCAGGAAGUGCUUCAAAAAUGUGUCCAACAGUAGCAAAAUGGGGGUGCGACAUUUCCGUUUGCACAGUCAUCUUCAAACAGCCAUAACUUUUUCGUUUCAAAUCCAAAUCGAGCACCGUUUGAAGCUAUGGACUCGUGACUUCCCAAGCUUUCAAAUGAGAUAUUGAAUGCAUAAUUUUAACUUCGGGAAGUGAUCGAGAUGUGUCCAAAAAUUGCCAAAAUGGGGGUGCGGCUGUGAAAUUGGGAUUUUUCACGUUUUGGAACUUCGCAACCGUUUCGCAGCUGCGAAAUGAGGGUCACUGUGCUGCGAAAUGGCACUCGUGUGCCAAAACUGGCUUUGCAAUUGCGAAAUACCCUGCGGAAUGGGACUUUUGGUGCGAAAUCAGGCUUUACCACUUCGCAAUGCGUUUCGCAGCUGCGAAACAGAUGCUCUUGUGCUGCGAAGUGGCACUCGUGUGCCAAAAAUGGUUUCACAGCUGUGAAAUCCUCUUCCAAAUGGAGCUUUCCCUGCGAAAUGGAGGAUUUCAUGCUUUGGUGGUUCGCAGCCGCUUUCGCAGCUGCGAAAUGGGGGCCACUGUGCUGCGAAGUGGCACUCGUGUGCCAAACUUGGUUUCGCAGCUGCGAAAAUUUUCGCAGAGAGGGGCCUGAGGCUGCGAACUGGUUUUGCAGCAAAGUGCCGAUUUCGCAGAGGCUGCGAAAUCUCGCAGACCCCUGUUUUUCCCCUGUUUUCGCUCCGUUUGACUCUGAUUUUGCUCCGAAAGACUUCCUUCAAUUUCUUUUCAAUUCCUCUUGAUUUUGAUCAUCCAAAAACCUAUAUUACAUCAAAUCAAAUUAGAAUUAAAGCAUUGAAAUCAAAAUUAAAGCAUUGAAAUCAAAAUUAAAACAUUGAAAUCAAAAUUAAAACAAGUAAAAAAUAAAACAAAAAGAUAUGGACUAGCUAGUCUUUAAAAAGACUAAGUCCAUAAAAAAAUUUGAUCCUGAUUUAGCUUGCCCGGAUCCCAUAUGAAGUUUGCAUCCUUCAAUUGAGACUUGGUUUGUAUGAUUUUCCCAUACAAAGCUUGGAGAAAAGGUGGAGGCAUGUGUUUCUUCAUCAAUUCUUCCUUGAUGACUAUCCUCUGUGAUUUUUCAUCUAUACUUAGAUCAUAGUCAUCUUUCUCUAUGCUUUUCCCCUUUUUCUUUCCUUUGAUUUCCUCCCUCUUUUCUUUCUCUGUUUCACUGUCUACCUUAUGCUCUAGCUUGCAUGUGGGCAGAUCAACCUCUUUACCACUCAAAGUGAUAACCGUUGUAACUUCCUUCUCCAUUAAAGAUUCUCCCUCUUGAGCCUCCACUUCAUGGAUGCCCUUGGAAUUUUGAUAAGGUUGAGAAGGAGAGUUUUCUUUCUCUUGCAUUGUGUUCAAAUUUAUGAGCCUGGAGAUUGAAUACUGGAUGUUAUCAAAUUUUUGAUUCAUAUCAUUUUGCAUUCCAUCCAUCCUUUGAUCAAGUCGAGCAUUGGUGGCUUCUUGCUUUCCAAUAAAAUCUCCCAUUACCUUGCAAAGAUUCACCAUAGCUUGUUCAAGGUUUGAGGCUUGCUGUGGUGCUUGAGCAGGUUGCUGAUACUGAGGUGGCUGUGGUUUCCAAGAGAAAUUUGGAUGGUCCCUCCAAUUGGAAUUGUAGGUGUUGCAAUCACCUAACAUUUCCCUCUCGGCUGGAAUGGUAGGACACUCAUCCACCAAGUGCUCAUAUGAUAGACAAAUGGCACAAGGCAUAGCUUGCAAUGGUAUUUGAGAGAUGGCUUGCACUGGUUGCAUAUUCGUCAUUUCUAGCUUUUCCAAUCUCCUUUCCAUAGCUGCAAUCUCUGCCUUCAUGUUCAUACCAUCAUUCAAAAUAUACAUCUCACCCUUAGCAUUAGGUUGAGACAUCAUUCUUCCCAUAUCUCGAGCAUUUGGUUCAUCCCAUUCUCUUGAGACUUCAGCCACAUAACUUAUGAAGUUCAUGGCUUCUUCUGCUAUCUCGUAAUCAAUAUAGCAUGCACAACUAGCAAUUUGUGAAUUAAAAACAGGGAAUACAAAAGAAAACAAAAGAAAAACAAUUCAAAGAAAGAAAAUUAAGGUAAACUAAAAACUAAAUAAAAGGUAUACUAAAACAUGAACAAUAAAGAAAUAAAAAGAGUUAGUAAAAGGAAAAGAAAAGUCACCAAACUUGUGAUGAAGAUCACAAGUACUCUCAAAAGGUGAUAUCACUGUAAAGUGGCACCAUCCCCGGCAACGGCGCCAUUUGAUUCGUGCCCAAUUGGUGUCUCAACUGAUUCGUGUCUAGCUGGUGCUCCUUGAUUGAGGGAGUAAUCAACAAAAUUUAUAACCUAUUACACCAUAUACUAGGGUAGCAAAGACAAAGCUACUAUAGUAUAGUGGCUCUAGGAUCGUUCACUGGGAUGGGUUUUCACUUUGCAAAUGAUAUUAGUUCAAAGCUGAAUUGGUGUCUUUUCAUUUCAAGGUUAGCUUUAAAAGAAAACAUAAAGAUGUUUGAAUGAAAAAGGUUUGGUUUUAAACUAACCACAAAUAGUAACUGAUUUUAACUACAAAGAAAAGUGUUUCUUGGAGUUCAGAUCACUAGGCUUAUUCCUCAUACAAAAAGGAGAGUUCCGGUCACUUGUUUCUUUUCCUCGCAUUAGAGAAUUAACAUAUAGUUAAUUCUCUAACCGGUGUUGUACAGAUGCUUCCCAUUAAUGGGUUCAAACACUAAAUCCCUCUCACUGAUGCACUUUGCAAUGGCUCAUACCUCUCACCUAGCACUUGCCAUUCAAGGUGAUCUUUAACCUUGGACUUCCCUUCAAAAGCUCGCAAGAGAUAACUAAUGGAUGUCUCCUUGGAGUCCAAAAGCUUACCAAGUGUUGGCUAUUCUAGAAAAUCCUACCUUCAAGUCACCUCCCAAAGGCUCGUAAGGGGUAAACUAGUGCAUUUCCAUGGUUGGAAAUCACUUGCCUUACUAAGUGUUGGCCCAAGUGACUCUAAGGUGUUUUAAGUUAACUAAAAACAUAGAAAUCACUAACGGGUUACACUUUCUCUUCAUUAAAAACUAAAACAACAAAACUUCCAAAUUAUGCAUGUGGAAACUUACCCGGCUUUCCUCACUCCAAGAGACAAAAAACUUAGCCUCUCAUCCUCUGUGGAAAAAUCCUCAGAGUUUGGUUGGCUAGAAAAUGAAAAUGAAAGAGAAGACAAGAAUAUAUAUGAAAAACAGAGCAAGUGCUCUGUUCCUUGAUUCUAUAUAUGAUAUAUCUAUAUAUUACAUACUUCCCCCAGCGUCUCCUUUUUAGUGUUUACAAAAGAGCUUAUAUAGGAAGGUAAUUUACCCUUCCUUGGAUAUUUCCUAGCUAAGGAAUUACAUGAGUGGCUGAAUACAAGGAGAAAAUGGAAAUUUAUACAAAAAUAUCUGAAGAAAAAUAUCCAAAAGAGUCGGUGCACAAAUAUUAGGAAGCACUAAGGACAUUUCGCAGGUGAAAACGAGGUCUGCGAGAUUUCGCAGACACUCAAGAGGGCUGCGAAAUAUUUUCGCAACAACAAGUUAAACUCGUAGGGCUGCGAAAUUGGCUUCCACCUUGAGGUUCUCAGCGUUCCAGCUUGCGGCAUGUAUCGGGUAGCUUCAGGAGGAAUUCCAUAUCACUGUACAAAAAGGCUGCGAAAUUCUCGCAACAAAAGGCUGAUUUCGCAACACUUUGGAGUGAUCUUCUUGAAAUGGCUGUAACUCCUUCAUUUCAACUCCAAAUCACGCACCGUUUGAAGAAUUGGAUUCUUGACUUCCUGAGCUUUGAAAUGGUAUAUAUCAUGUAGAAAAUGGACUUCGGGAAGUGCUCCAAAAGUGUGCAAGAAGACUGCAGCUGCUGUCCUUUGUUUUCUUCACUUUGUUUUUCCUCUCUCCUUGCUUCUCUCCUUGCAUACUUUGAACGACUAAGGCAAUGGGCUAUGGAGAUCCAAAGCUUGGUUCUUCAUGAAUUUGAGCUCUUCAUUUCUUUGCCAUGGAUUCCAAAUAACUCUCCUCAAUCUUGGAUUGUUUUGGUGAUCAAAUUACUAACAAAAACACCAAAACUUACACAAUUUGAUUAGAAAUGAUUGCAAGGGUCCUUAACAUGUUAAUUGGGUUAAAAGGCAAUAACUACUACUCAAAAGUGUUUAAAAGGAUUAAUUACAAGCUACAAAAUAGCACUUUUUGAGUAGUAAUCAAUUAACUGCACAGGGUCGUCUAAUUAAUCAAUUAGCCCAAUUUAGAGUACUUGUUCACUAUUCCUUGUGUAACCUUGUGUAAUUACCAAGACACCCUUAUUCACAAAAAUUAACUAAGAGUCGAUUCAUCUCUCAUAAAAUGUGUCAUCAUGGCAUAUGAGCUCAGAAUAUGGACCAUUGGGACCCAUAGGAGUACUGGCUCCCUCAUACUCUAAUUUUGAAGUUGAUUCAACAUUCCAUUAAAGAGAAUCAAAUACACUUCAAUAUCCUAUGUAGAUAACAACGAGAUGAAGCUUAGAAUCUAUGACCUACUAUCCACUACAUGCAGACUCCCUAUGAACCGGUGUCCGUAAUACAACAAGGUUGUGCUAUAACCUAUCAAGAUUACCUCUGCAAUUCUUGAGUUAUAGAUCCCACUUAUUAUGUGAUCAAUUGACAUACUCUAGCUUUAAGGAGCAUAUGUCAAAUUUCCAUUAAAGGAAAUGCAGUGGCCAUAGUCUUCUAGAUCACAUGUCCUUUGGAUCACCCAAGGGGACACAUUGUUUCAAUCCAUGAGAUAUCAUGGUGCCUUUAUUGAGAAUAUCUAUUGUCACCAACAGUGACCUAAUCCAUAGGGAUAUAUGACCACUUUAGGGUCUCACCCAUAAUUCAAAGCCUCCUGUUAACUUUAACACAAGCUCAAUAUCCUCUCAAGGUUGAGAUUCCAUGUAGUAUAGUAGCUUGGUGAAUCAUGACAAUUGAUAGUUUUAUGUCAUGAUUCACUGUAGUUCUUAUCCAAUGUGCAUCAUAUACAUUAGUACACUUACCAUGGGAAAACCAUCCCAACAGCCAAGACAAGUCAUCUCUCCAAGUAGGAUGUAGAACACUACAAUCUCAAAUGGAUAACCCAAAUUCCUGAACCAACUAUGGAAAGCUCAUCACUCUACAGGGAACCCAUGACAUGGAUCUUAUGUACAACACCUAAUAUGCCCAAGUCACGUACAAUGUAAGUAACGUGGGGAGUGUAUGCUCAAAUAAACAAUUAAUACAAAUGAGAUAUUUAAGGGAACCAAGAAACAUAAAUAAAUUUAUAAAUGAAUCUCAAUCUAUUACAUCAUGUCAUGUUUUCCAAGGCUCAAUCCCAAAACUAAUUUCUAAGAUCUCUACAAUCUUUAAUCUUUAACCCUCAAGGGGUUAUUAGGGAGGUAUUUAUAGGAAAUGACCCAAAGAGUUUUAGUAUUUUAAGUUUCCAAAUUAGAGUUUGAGUGAAAUUCAUUCAAAAGUUGUUUCUAAACUUGGUAGGAUUGUCAUGAUCGCUUGAGUAAACUAAGGCCACUUGAAUGUUUCACUUGAGCAGUCCUUACCGCUUGAGCAGGCUAACUGCUUAAACGAUCUUUUCCACUUAAGUGACCCCUACUUCUUUUGAAAAAUCAUUUUAAGUCAAAAAAUAAUACUAAACCUUUUAUACAUCAAAGAAGCCUUAUAUGCCAUAAGUCAAACCUUUUUAAAUGUACCUAUGACUUCCUGGUUGGAUGAAUAGCAACCCUUAAUCUUCAAUGGAGAGCAAGUCAUUAUCUAAAAAGACUUCUAUGAUCAAACAUAAAAUGAAACAAAAUUGUCAACAUAUAAAGAAGACUUAAUGUCCUAAUAGGAAACAUUAGAACUUUCCUUAUCUACUCAGUUUGAGUGAAAAGACUUCAAGUAGGUGAAGUACUUCAAGGGAUUGUGAGUGCCCAUUGGAGACCAUGAAUCCAAAUAUAAAGCUUCAAGGCUUAGGUUGAAGGCCUUUGAUAGUAGAACCCUCACUUGGUUAGGAGUUUAAAAAGAGUGGAUAUAGGCGGAUUUUCAAACCACUAUAAAAGAGUUUGCAUAUAUUUUCUUUUUAUCUUUUGCUUAAUUAUUGCCUUAAUUAAUUUCUCUUAUUAUUUUUGUUAUUAAUUGGUUGUUUCUGAACAAAAAUUUUGACACCUAAUUCAUCCCCCCUCCCAUCCCUUUAGUAGUUUACUUAAUCAAAUUGGCCAUUUUUCACAAUUAUUAUCAGGUACAUAUAUGUUAUGGAGAAUGGUGGGUAUGAUUGGCAACUGGAAAAUGACUUUUCAAGAAGGUAGAUGGGUUGGUGGUGAAAAUGGUGAAAGGUUGAAGGGGUUAUGGCAUUGGGUACAGAUGUGGUAAGCCAUUAUUUGCAAUGGUGGUUUUUUUUUAUUUACUUUUUCAUCUUUUUCCCCAAACAACACUCCACACAACUCCAUUUAUUUCAUCUUUGCUAUAAAAACAAAACAUGCUACUACAACACAUUUAAUGUGCUUCAUUAUGCCAUGAGUUUUAUAUUAUUUAAAAUUUAGAAAUUAAAAAAAUUAAAAAAAUUAAAAUUUAAAAAAAAAAUUAAAAAACAGAAUUUAUAAAUUAAAAAAAAUAGAUUAAAAAUAAAAUUCAAAAUUUACAAUUUUGCAUUAUUUAAAAUUUAGAAAUAAAAUAAUUUAAAAAUAUUAUGUUUUAUAUACACAUGAUGAUAGGCUGGUACUACUGAUCCAUCGGGUUGAAAUAAAGGUGGAAUGGUUUCAAAAAAGCUCCAUCAUCUUCAGCCUUGUAAAUUCAUCAGCAAUCAAUAAGAAAGUAAGAAUUUUAUGUUAAAUUUUUUGCCUUCAUUUAAAUUUCUGUAUUAUGUAUUUUUCUUACCCUUAGGGGGUAAAAAGGGGUAAAAAGGUAAAAUAGGGAAAUGAAAAUUAUUUGAAUUAUUUUUAAGUUUUCUUUACUAGUUAAUAUAUGCAAUAUACAUGGAUCCUUUUUAUAUAAUGUUCUCAUCAACAUAAAAAAAAAUAAAAUUAAAAAUAAAAAAAAUAAAAAAAAAUAAAAAAUAUCGGUUUAUUUAGAAAAUUUUGGGUGUAAAAUCAUGUUUUAAAACUAGAGUCUUUAGUCUUAACCCUUGACCUCAAACCCGUUUUUGCCGGAAAAUUGGCGUUUUAGGGAGACUAUGUCUGGUCAGAAGGGGGGUAUUACCUUGACACGAAGUGAUGUUUUAAAAUUUUUGAAUUUUAUUACCAGAAUUUUUGAGAUAUCCGAUUUCAAAAGAUUUCAAAACUUAAUUUUAUACGUUCAAAAAACUUUCACUAUAAGUUUAAAAAUUUUAUGUUAUUUUAAUAAGUCUUUGUAAAAUUUUAUAUUAUUUUAUUAGGUGUUUGAAAAUUUUAUGUUAUUAUAAUAAGUCUUUGUAAAAUUCUAUAUUAUUUUAAUACUAGUAAUAAAUGUGUUCACACUUAAAUUCAAUAAAAAACUCUAAUCAAACCCUCAUUGCUAACGGAGAUUUAAAGAAACUUUACUAACAAACUGUUGUUGAAACUGGUGAUGGGAAAAGUUGAAAUUACCUCAAAUAAAUAAACCAAUAAUAAGAUAUCCAACAUCUAGUAGCAAUAAAAACUGCAGAUAUAGCAUGCAAUCUUAUAGAUACAAAGGAAUUCAAAAUUGAACCACUCAUCCCUCAACAAGAACCAGAAUGGGAAAUGACCCGUUCAAAUGAAUUAAACGAAGUAUUACAAGAACAAAUUCAGAAAGAAAACCAAAACAAUAUAGAUAUUGUAACACCUUACAAAAAAAAAUUAGUUCAAAAUUAUAAAAUAAUCAUAAUCUAUAUUUAUAAAAAAAAUAUAUGAUAUCUUUAUACACACAAAUUAUAUUUGGAAUUCUAGAUGAAUGGAAUGUUUUUAGAGAAGCUAGACUAUUUAUUUGAUAAAUUCCAAUAUUAACAAUUUUUUAAAAACUAAACAAUAAUUAAUAAAUGUUUCUAUUGGGUUAAACUAGGCAAUUAAAUAUUAGUAUAAAUUUACUUUGUGAGUAAACAAGCUUAGGGGUAGCAAUUUGUGUUGGUGGGUCAUAUUUGUGUUGUGUCAAACCCGACAUGAAUAAUAAUAUGGUUAAAAACAUACACCCAAAUACUACAUAAUUAUUAAACAAGUAACAUGUCAUGUAACUCACUUAUCUUAUUAAAUAAUUAGGCCUUAUCUUUUAAUAAUCAGGUUGAGUUAGGUCUUGUGUUAAUUUAUAUGACUAAUAAAUGUUUAUGACUCAAUUGCCCUAUUUAUUUAAAAUCAAGUUUAAAAUGUGCUAAAUAUGGGUUAAAUAUUUUAAAGUUAUAAUUAAACUAAUCAACACAAUAUGCAUGUUGACCCAAAGACUACCCAGUUAUUAAACGAGUUAUAUAGGUCCACAUGAAUUUGGCUCAAACUCAAUCAUACUCAACUCAAACACAUAAAAAGCAUGUUAGAUUCAAGUCUUCUUGAUGAAUUGUAUCAAAUUUUAUCACCCUUAAACAAGUUCGAUGUCAAAUGAUAACAAAUUAGAAGACUAUAGUUUAUCCAUAACUGACAUAUAUUUAAUUCGAGAUUUAUGUAUUAAAGUGAAAAAUUCGAAAUGGAACUAAAAUAAAAGUAUGAUUAAGAGAAAAUAUUGGAAUAAUGUUGAAGUGUAAUACUUGAACCAACAUCAAGAAAAUAAUGAUCAAAAUGAGAUUAGAGUUCUACAUUCUUUUUUGUUUUCUUUCUCUUUUUCUUGCAUUUCAAAAAUAUCAAACACGAUAAAACACUAUAGAGGUAAAUCAUAUAAUAAUUUAUGAUAAAUUUCAAUUACUUUCAUAACUACUCUUUUAUAUAUAUAUAUAUGUAUUAAAAAAUGUAUGCAAGUAUAAAAACUCCUUUACAAGUUAGUAACUAUAAUAGUUAUUAUCUUAAGGUAUAAUUUAUGAUUUUAUUCUUAAUAAUUAAUUUCUUUUAGCAAAUUAGCAAUUAAUGAUUAAAAAUAAUAAAUGCAUAAUGAGAUCAUUAAAAAAAUCAAAUAGCCAAUUACUAAUAAAGAUAUGGUUGGAUACUUUACAAAAAACCUUUACACAUACAUUUUUUAUUUUGUAAAUAGUAAUAUAGUAGUUGGGCAUAUAGUGUCAUAUAUUGUAUCAUAUAAUAAUUAUCUUGCAAUCAUAUAUUUAUUAAUAAUAUAUAUCUUUAUAUGCACAAGUCAUAUUUGGAAUUUUAUGUAAAUAGAAUGUCUUCAUAGAUGCCAGGCAAUUUAUUUGAUAAAUUCCAUUUUGAACAAUUAUUUAAAAAUCAAGUAAUAAUUAAAAAGAAUUUCUAUUAGUUUAAAGUAGGUAAUUAAAUGUUAGUAUAAAUUUACUUUUUAAGUAGAUAAGACAUGAUUUUGCAUGAGAACAAAUUAGUGGACUAUAGCUUAUUCAUAGCUAACUUAAAUUCAAUACUAUUUUAGAGUUGUAUGAUAACUUUUACCCAAUAUAAUAAAAAUCAUUUAGUAUUAUUUAUGUUUGAGUAGCAUCAUGUAAUAAUAUUGAAAUUUAAAUAAAUUUAUAUUAUAGGAUAUAAUCUAACAUGUCUUGGAUUAUUUGUUAUUAUUUAUAUAAAAAAUAUAAAUAACAUAUUACACUAUAAAAAUUAAUUGCUCAAAUAGUUUACCUUUUUAUUAUUUCAUAACAAAACUAUUAUUACAUUAUAGAACAUUUCAUUUUAAAUAAAUCUAUAAUAUAGUAUUUCAUUUUGUGGAUCUUUAAUUAUAUUUAUUAUUAUUUAUAGAAAUAAAAUAUUAAGUCUCAAAAAAUACAUAUGUCGUUUCACAAUAUAAAUCAUCUUGCUAUUUAUCAAUAUUAUUUAUUAAUAUCACAGUUUAAUAACUUCAUUUAGUGAUAAAAUUAUUCAAUUUGUCAAGAAAUAAUAUAAUCAUUUAAUGAAACCAUUUUGUAAGCAAAUAUAUAUAAAAAGUUGUAACUUUUAGUAAGAAAAUUAUUUUUGUCACCAAAAAUUGUAAUUAGUGACAAAUAUUUUUGUGGGAAAAUAGUUUUUUUCUAUCACAAAAGUGUUUGCACAAAAAAAUGACGACGCCAAAAUUUUCCAUCAUGUCUUUUAGUGAUGAAAAUUUCAAAUUUGUCAUGAAAAGCUUUCAAAAAAUUGGCACCAUUGAUAACAUCUAAAAUUUCAUCAAUAAAAUUUACUUUUAGUGACGAAAGUAUAAUUCACCCCUAAAGUUUCUUUUUUAUUUGCUUCAUUAUGAAAUUUAAGAUAAGUUCUUCAUGUAUGAUUUAUUUUUUAGAUUCUUUUCUCUUUCUUUAACCACGAGAUUAAUAGGAAGAAGAAUUGAGGAAAUGAGAAAAGUGGUUAUGGUAAAGAAAUAAUAAAGUAAUAAUAAUAUUUGGGUUGUGGGUAGGAGAUAAGUAAAAAUAGUAGUAAAUUAAUAUAUAAUUAUCAUACUUCCUACCAUGAAAAAAAAGAAAAGAAUAUUAACAUUAAUAAUUCAACAAAAUCCAUUAAUGUAAUUAUGGGAAGUGAAAAUGAUAAUAAUAAUAUGGUUAAUAAAAAAUUUAAUUAAAAAAAUAGAUUUUUAGAAAAGGGUUUGGAAUUAAAAUAAGUUUUACAAAAAAAAUUAGGAAGCCAUUGAUUUAGAUAAUUAGUCUUUAGGAAUUAAUUUUUAUUUAUAUUUGUAUUAGGUUUAGAUAAAGUCUUUCAAGAUUUUGAAUGAUUUCUUCAAGGUUAGGGUUAAUAGUAUAGUAAACUAUUUUAUAAUUCCUUAUUUAUUUUCAUCUAUUUUUAAACUAUCAAAAUGUUUAAAUUCCUUAAAGCGGAUCAAAUAAUAUUUUACUAAAAAUGUUAUGAUUUGUUCCUUAAUUUAUAAAAUGAAUUAGGAAUAUCAUAUGAUUUAUUUAUUGUUAUGCAAGUGAAUUUUAUUGUUUAAUUUAUCAUAUUGGUUUUGAAACUCUAGUUAUUAGUGGACCUGGUCAAGGGUGCAAUUGUUGACCUUUGUUACCUUUGGUGAGGGUAGUGAUAUAAUGGAACUCUAGCUAAUAAGGGUGCUAUUAUCCUUUGGUAUACCAUUGAUUAUAAAUCAUUUAAUCCAUGUGUAAGAGGAACAAAGUGAGACUAGCCACCUAAUGUAAGUUAUACUAUUUGGACACGAUGUUAUUAUCAAUAAGUUAGAGUAAAAUGUUAUUAUCAAGAACACUUCUAGGUCCAAUCUUGAUAAAUUAUUUAAUUUUGAUUUUUUUUAAAUCUAUAAAUUAUGAUUUUUACCACUAUAAUUUCUUGGUCAAUUCUCAAAGUCAAACUUGUAUUCCAUGAUACACAACCUGAUUGAAGCUGAGUUGUAAGAAAUUAAUUUUCAAGCAUUUGGUUUAUUUAAAAUUUGGUAAGUGAUCAAAUAUCAUAAUUAUAGUGGUCCUACUCAUUUAACUGGUCCUGGAAGAACAUUCAAAACCAAUACGCAUUCAAAUUACUUUAUCUUAUAUUGAUACGUGACGAGAAAUUUUUGAACCCCAAGAGAAUCGUCUUGGGUGCCCAUAGAAGGUGACAACAGCCAUAAAAGUUGUUGUUCAGCUUUCACCAAUUCUAGUUUUGGUUUUCUCCAGCCUCUAUAAAUACCUCUAAGAAUUCAUCUAUUCAUGUCAAAGAGCAGAUAAGUCGUGCUAUUAGAAAUAGUAAGAAAAUUGAAGGAGUUGUGUUUAAGACAAGAGAAGCUUUUCUUCCAAAGAAGAUGUGGCAGAUCAUGAAGGUUUUCCUCUUGCAAAUUUUACCAUUUCUACUUUUUGGUGGUGGCAUCUAUUGCCAAGCUUCAACCCGUCGGUUUACUUUUGUGGUAAAUACUAUAUAUGAUUCUAGCCUUAACGCCACCUUAUGAUCGUAAUAUUCAGGGAGUAGUAUUACUCUCAUUUUCCACCGUAUAACCCCCAUGGGGUCUUGGGUACCCUAUGUCAUUGAGUCAUUCAUGCAUGCUAUCAAUUUCUAAUUGGUUAUACACUUGCAUGAAUGGAUUGAUGCAACUAUUCAUGCAUGUAAUAUGUCUUUAGGGAUGAGGUUGCAUGGUUAACUUUUAAUUGGUUGCAGGUGAAGGAAGCUUCAUAUACAAGGCUUUGUAGCACCAAGAACAUCAUAACAGUAAAUGGACAAUUUCCGAGACCAACUAUAUAUGCUAAGAAAGGAGAGACGAUCAUUGUCGACGUUUAUAACAAAGGAAAAGAAAACAUCACCAUUCAUUGGUAGGUCUUGUGCAUAUCUAAAAAAUGAUAGCAAUCGGCAACAUGCUUACAUGACAUACAUUCUUUUAUUUCUAAGAGGGGGUUGCAAUCUAUUGCUUUGCAAAUAAAGUCAAAUUUAAACAAUACUUUGUGGUUAUUUGCUUCAAUUCCAUUGAAAUACAGUCGAUGCCUCUUGUUACUAUGACAAUAUGUUGUUGCAUGCCAUCUUUUGUUAGUCCAAAAAUUAGUACUAGUUUUAAUGUAUAGUUAUUGUUUUCAGGCAUGGGGUGAGCAUGCCUAUAUAUCCAUGGAUAGAUGGUCCUAAGUAUAUCACACAAUGCCCAAUUCAACCAAGGUCAAAGUUUAGCCAAAAGAUCAUCCUUUCCUUUGAGGAAGGCACUCUAUGGUGGCAUGCUCACGGUGAUUGGACCCAAGCCACCAUUCAUGGAGCUAUAAUCGUCUAUCCUAAGAACGGAACCAAAUAUCCUUUUCCCAAACCUAAUGUAGAAGUUCCCAUCAUAUUAGGUAUAAGUGUUGUUACUUUUAAAGCUUAAUUUACAUAUCAUGAAUUAACCAACAAAUCAAAGUCUAAAAUUAUUGGAGCUGUUGAAAUGCAGGACAAUGGUGGAAGAGUGAUGUGAAUGUGGUUCGAGAUGAAGCGCUUGCAACUGGAGCUAACCCCAAUGCCUCUGAUUCUUUAUUGAUAAAUGGACAACCUGGUGAUCUAUUUCCAUGCUCAAAAUUAGGUACAAAUUAAGUUUAACUUCCCAUUUUAAAAUUGUAUACAAUUUCAUUUUCUUGUAUUUUGACCAUAUUACUUUUUCUUAUUAACAUCAACAUAUUUAAAGCUUAAUGCUAAAAAAGAGGAAUAUAGCUAUGAGGAUGGUAGAGUCAUGAUUUAACACAUAAGAAAAGGCUCGUCCAAAUAUAAUUUUAAACUAUGGAGCCAAAUUUACACCCUUAAUCACUUCAUAAUUGGUGGAUCCUCAUGGAAACUUUUUCUUUAUCUUUUCACUAGUCAUAAGCAUAAAACUUUCCCUUUCUAAUUGUAGGCACAUUCAAGCUAACGGUGGAUCAUGGAAAGACCUAUCUACUUCGCAUAAUCAAUGCUGCCUUUCACGAGGCUCUCUUCUUCUCCAUUACCAAGCAUAAAAUGAUAGUGGUUGGAACAGAUGGUAGCUACACAAAACCAUUGACACGAGAUUAUAUCACAAUAUAUCCUGGCCAAACCUACGAUGUCUUACUAGAAGCUAACCAACACCCGAAUCACUAUUACAUGGCAGCUAAAACUUAUUCCAUUAUCUCGGAAGCUUGUAAUUUUUAUGAUAACACAACCACCACAGCUAUUGUAUAGUAUAGGGGAUACUACACUCCAUCUUCACCUCCCUCCUUGCCUCAUUUGCCUGCAUACAAUGACACAAAUGCAUUGGUUCAGGUCAUGGCCGGCCUUCGAAGCUUAGCAGAUGCGGAACAUCC
rnacentral:lncRNA from 1 species